rnacentral:lncRNA from 1 species
UUUUUUUAUCUUUUUUUUAAACGUUCAGGGGGCUGGGGGGCCCCUGUCAUAGGCCCCAGGGGCCUUGGCGGGUUUGGUCGCUAGCGGGUGCGGGCAACGGGCGCACGCCCAGGUGCAAGCGGACCCGGGAGGGCACCGGAACAGGGGAGGCCGGUGGCCACGGCGUGGCCAUGGCCGGAGCGGGGAGAGGCCGCGGUGGUGCGCGGGCGGCCGCCGGAGGUGGCGUAGAGGGGCGAGGCCACAGUGGCGACGGGGCGCUGCAGCCCGACUGGUCCCUGGCGCCGGCUGGGGCGGAGGAAGGCGUCGGCCAGGGCAACGUACAGAGGAGGCGCGGCCGUGGCCGCGAACGGGCGAUGACGGGAGGGCGCAGGCCGGUGCGAGGACGCGCACGAGCGCGGCCAGGGCGCGGCCCGGCCGCGGUGUCCGAAUGGGCAAGGGAGUGCCGGGGGCGCGCGCACGAUCGAGUGGGCUCGGCCGGGGCGAGGGUGCGCGGUGUUCGCGGCGACGGUGACCAGUGUGAUGCGGGGAAAAGAAGAGGAGGCCGGGGGCCUCACCGAGGGAGCGUAGGGCACGGGGCAGUGGUGCUCGAGGUGGGGGACGGGGACGACGCACGCAAGGGAGGCAGACCGUUGAGGAGGAGGAGGCAGUCCGGCGGGGAAGCUCCGGCGAGGUCCUCGGGCGACGGUGGUGGCGCACAGCGACGGCGUCAGUGAAGGAGGCGCCGGGCUCAUUGCCCCUUCCUAUCUAGAUUGGGUCGGGGAAGAGGAGCGAGAGGGGAGGCGAGCCGGAGACGGGUGGUGGGGCGAGGACGUCGGGGCGGCGCCAGGGGCAGCGGUCGCGUGCGCUGGGGGGUUCGAUCCCCUUCCAGAUCGGAUCGGGUGAGGGAGAGAGGGAGUGGCGACGUGGGAGGGAGUGGGAGCGAGUGGGUUAGGGUUUCGGUCGCGAGGGGGGUUAUGGGGAGUGGGGUGGUUUGGGCCGGCCGGUUGCUGGGUUGGCCGGCUGUGUGGCUAGUUGGGCCACAUGGCCCAGGGGAUAGGGGGAUUUCUUUUCUCCUUUCAUUGUUUUUGUUUUAUUUUCUAAUUUUGUUUUCUUUUAGUCUUUAAUGUAUUUUAGUUUAAAUAAAAUACAAAAGAAACUCCUUAAUUAGUAUUAUCUUUUAACCCACUGCCACAAAAGGUUUUAACCCAAAAUAAAAUAGUUUAGUAUUUUAUAAAAUACCAAAGGCAUUUAAAUAAUGUUUUAGUUACCGCUUAAAUCAUUUUAGAGCACUCAAACCAUUUAUAAAAGUGUGAUUUCUCCACCAUAAUUACCUAUGCAUUAUUUGGCACAACCCGAACAUUUUAGUUUUAAUAUUUGAAAACCCUUAGCGUUUGACUUGAUUUUGAAUUUGAAUUUGGAACGGUUUCGAAUCAACGCGAGUUUAUCUACAAUAACCAAGGUGACGUCGCAUCAUUAGCAAAGGUUCACUGUAGCUUAAUUAUCCGGGCGUCACAAUUCUCCUCCACUACAAGAAAUCUCGUCCCGAGAUUUAAGAGGGGUGUAAGGGGAAAGUUCUGGUUACGAGAUUCUAACGAUUCUUCUCGGUCUUGGUUGCUCUUCUCGAAGAGGUCGAUCCAUUACGUUGAUGUCUUCAUUUCUCUGCUUCAGGUCAUUAUGAUGAAGUCGGCGUCCUUUCUUCGGGAACUCUAUCGUACUUACGACAGAGUAAGGGGGUAUUCUGGAAGAACGGACCUCUGCAAGGUUGACUAUCUGGUCAAUAUCAUCGGGGAAGGUGGCGGAAAGUAACUCUCGAACUAAAUCUUAAGAAAAAGCCGAGAGCAAGUAAGAAAGUACCAUGAGAAGUUUCAAACGGGUAGGCAAUCGUUCGAAGCCUGAAACAAAGUGUGAAGGGGUUCAAAGCAAUCGGAAUAAGUAUUAUGUCUGAUGCCAGUAUAGAUCAGUAGGACGGUGGUCCGUGAAUUACAUACGAGGUCACGCGCGAUGAAUAAAUUUGGGAACAGGGGGUGCACAGGAGAGUCAGGUUUUGAUCCUAUGGAACUGUGGGUUAUGGGCCCACCAUGUGGGUUAAAAAUAGGAGCGGUGACAUCUUGCACGGUCAUGAUAGCAAGGCAUGUCAGAGAGUAGCAUGCCAGUUAUAUGUCAGCAACAUCGUCGGUACCAAGGGCGAGGGACGAAGAGAACCAUUUUCCUGCUCAUUGAAACGAGGCGGACCAAUAGGCAAAGUUCUCGUCCAUCGGUGGUUACCGUAAUGUCACCAACAAUAGUAACAGGGUCUUACUGACAGAGUUGUACACCGAGGUGUUUGCACAAGCAGGGAAUUAAUACUGCUUAGAUCAUAAUGAUCACCAGAAACGUUAAACCAACCAAUGGAAAGGAAAAUAUGAUUAUCAGAUUAAACAGAACAAAGGAAAGGAAAAUGUGUUUAAACACAUAUUUCAGGGGUAUAUCCUUCCCAAGGACAAUGGUUAGACGAGAACCAUUUAGGUUAGGGAAGAGGAAGUUCAUGACAUUACCCAAACAACGGUGUUUGAAUAAUUGAUAACGAAAAUUUAGCAUUGUGCUUCAAAUGUUUUUAUUGAAGAUCGGAGUACCACAGACAUGCUUCGAGAUAGCAUUGACAUGGUCAUUAGGUAAGAUCAGGCUAUGGAUACACAAAGGAUCCAUCAGGAACAACUUAUAGAGUAAGUCUUACAAUUUCCUCAUGGAAGAAUAGCUAACCUUGCUAAAAAGGAAAACUUAUAACAAUAGGUCCUCCGGCCAGGUGUGUUAGGCAUGACAUCAACUUACCGGGUCAUAAAUAGACCAAUGUUAUAACUCUUGGAAAUAUGUUCCAACCAUCAUACCUGACCGAGAUUCAGAUCUGAUUGGUGUCAGGAUAACUCAGACUCAGGAUGCCUGAGAAGAAAAGGUGCAACACAAAUUGUCGAGGUGACAUUGUAUGAUUCUCGGGAAUUAAACCAUGGAAGCGAGUUCCGAAACAAGAGUUCAUCAUUAAAUCAAGGAGAGGAUGAGGGGGUGGCUGAUGGACUCAGCGACAAUUCCUCAAGAUUUCCAAAAAGAUGGAUUUCCAUAAUCAUGUGAACAAGGAUAUAACAUUUGUCAAAUCAAAUGGUAUAAUGAUGUAUGCUCGAGGAAAACAUACACAAUUAAACAUUAGUUGAAAGGUGCACCCGAAAUAUGGGCUGGGUUACACGACCAACGUCGGAAUGGUGAUUCAAUAAUCAAUAGUCUAAGAAUGAACGGCCGACCAUUAACUUCAAAGCAAUAGGGUUGCUAGAAGGGCAGGAUCCAAACAGCACCGCUCACUCAUUGGUACCCCGGUUGGAAUCAACACGAGGACCCAAGAAGGAAUGGUGAUGGUGAGAAGUAUCACCAUACCAAGAUUUCUUAAGAGGUGGUGAAAUUCUCACAACAUUGAGGACAAAAGAGAUGUUAAUGUUCCAAGGUAAAGAAGAACAAUUGCUGGAUAGCAAGGAACUUAAAGUUCAUUCAAAACAAGACCAAGUCUAUGUUUGAAAGGAAGGCAUGGAGGUGGUCGAUGAUAACACAGAUCAUCGAGGGACAAGCAUGGAAUUUCUCAUCAUGAAUUCAAUUGAUAUCUCGGAAGAAGUUAAAAUGUUGACGAUGAUCACGACACACUUGUCGAGAGGUUUCUUGAAGAUGUAAUUGAUCGGCAAUGACAUCAAGUCAAAGGAAUGGUGAAGCGAAAAGUUAUUGGAACCAAGGGUACGACACAAACUCCAAACCAAGCUUGUUCCUGGAGGUGAAACGAUAAGAUGAGGAAGAUCGACAUAAGCUUAGCUCAUCAUCGAAAGUUGUGCUCCAUGGUUAAGGACCAGGUAGCACAGUUAAAAUUUAGCACGCUAAUGAUAUAGCCGAUCAGGCUAGGAAUGACUUAAAUGAUUAUUAAACUCAUAAGCAACGAAAAUUACUUAGAGUUAUUGAAUCGGAGUGUGGAAUUGAUUCACUUAUCGGUGUCCUUGAGGGGUUCUAACAACUCAGAACCCGUUGGAAAAAAUGGAAUCGGCAAGAAUAUUAGUUGAUGAAGAACUCAUAAGAAGUUAAGUAGUUCCUUGGCAUUCUCGAGAUACCAGGGGGUAAUACUCGAUGACAGACCAAAGUAGAGGUUGGACGGGGGUAUUGCUCUGCAGAGGACAAGUGCUUAAACUUGCACGAGAAAUGGUAUUUAAAGGAGAACAUGGUCAGAACCAUGAUUGAAAAAGGCCAGAUCCCAGAUAUAAGAUGAACUUAUACCAAGGGAACAAUUAAUUUUAAAAGAAGCUUCGAUGAGAAGAUCUACAUCGUGUCCAUGGGCAUGAACACAAAGUUCAAGGUCGACUCCCACUUCUCCAAUGCAUAUCCUUUCAUUUACUUCUCGCGUUCGAUGAAGUUGUAGUGUUGAAAUUUUAUAUGGCAAAAUACCAGAAGAGUAUGACUCGUGAAAACUUUCGAGUUCACACAUAUUAAGGAAGGCAUAGGUUCAAGCCAUCGGGGCUUCUUAGAACAUAUACCACGAACUUCAGAAGUAAAUAACACAAGCUCAAAAGUAGAGCAUGGUUGACAAAGCAGAGGAUACAAUUUACCAAAGGCUUUAUAUAUCCAUGGAAAAGCUCACAAGGUUAUUUGAAUAUGAAGGAUAUUGUCGGAUAAACUCCAACAAAGGAUCCGGUGGUCUUCAAGGGAUCUGAUGUGAGCAUCGGUACUCAACUAGAGGAAGAAAGAAUGCAAGGAGAUCCGAUUAGAGAACAACUGACUAAUUCAAAGCUCAAUUGCAAAGGAAUUUAUGAUUUCCAAAUCAAGGGAUCAAAAGCAAUCGUUCUGAUCGAAAAUGAAUAAGCUCAACAGACUUAGAAGCACAAGCGAUCAAGGCAUUGAUUGGUCAAGAACCAGCUCACAUUCAAAUGACGUCUGAGCCAGAAGGAUGAAUUCUAGGAUCUGACUGAGGAUUGCGAGCAUUCGCAACAUAUUGAAUCAACGGACUCAAAAUGAUAAUUACAAGGGAUGCCAAUAAGAUUACGAGACUUAUGGGAUUAACCAUAAUGCAAGCAAACAAGAAUUUCAAGAGCAAUAGGCUCCCGAGGAUUUUCGGAAGAUCGAAUAGUAUUUUGAAGACUAUUGUGAAAUACAUGAAUCAACUGGGGAUGACUCGAUACUCGGUAGGUGCGAGUAAUUAUCCGUAUGGGUAUUUCUGCGGCAAGGAACUACAAGGCAGUGGUAUAAGGGAUUCUUAAAAGCCGGAGAGCAAUUCGAUGUAUCUGGUAAUAACAAGAGAAACUCAGAGUAAUUGUAUGAACAACAAGUGUAUGUCGUUAUCCAUAUGGAUAUAUCGGUAGUAGGGAAUUGAAAAGGCAGAGGGCACAAGGGUCUCGGGAAUGAUCGAAGAGUAUCUUCAACAUCUUCUGGUGCAGUCGGCGACCAUCUGUGAUAAGGGGCUCUUCGGGAGAAAGUAUUUACGAGACCCUACAGUUAGUCUUUUUAGCAAAAUCAUUUAACCCGAAUAGGAGAGAGUUCAGAGUCCUAGAGUAAAGGUCAAGGAAUAAAAGAUCCUAAUACCACCCAAUGGCGACGUGGGCCCGUAAGACACACAGCCAUGUUAGUAAAAGUUUUUCAAUGACUAGACUCGACUUCGGCCAAGGAGUUUGGAAGGGAGAUUCCUACAGGCAGUCGGCUCUGAUACCAACCUGUGACGCCCUCGAUUCAAUCGUACACUAAUCAUGCACGCAAAUGUGUACGAUCAAGAUCAGGGACUCACGGGAAGAUAUCACAACACAACUCUACAACAUAAAAUAAGUCAUACAAGCAUCAUAAUACAAGCCAGGGGCCUCGAGGGCUCGAAUACAAGUGCUCGAUCAUAGACGAGUCAGCGGAAGCCACAAUAUCUGAGUACAGACAUAAGUUAAACAAGUUUGCCUUAAGAAGGCUAGCACAAAAGUAGCAACGAUCGAAAAGGCAAGGCCUCCUGCCUGGGACCUCCUAACUACUCCUCGAAGCCGAACUCCAUGUAGAAUCAUCCUCGGGAUCUCUAGCUCCUGGACUCCAGCAUCUGAUUGCGAUAACCAGGUAGAAUGGAAAGGGGGAAAAGAGGGAGAAAAGCAACCGUGAGUACUCAUCCAAAGUACUCGCAAGCAAGGAGCUACACUACAUAUGCAUGGGUAUAUGUGUAAAGGGCCAUAUCGGUGGACUGAACUGCAGAAUGCCAGAAUAAGAGGGGGAUAGCUAAUCCUGUCGAAGACUACGCUUCUGGCAGCCUCCAUCUUGCAGCAUGUAGAAGAGAGUAGAUUGAAGUCCUCCAAGUAGCAUCGUAUAGCAUAAUCCUACCCGGCGAUCCCCUCCUCGUCGCCCUGUUAGAGAGUGAUCACCGGGUUAUAUCUGGCACUUGGAAGGGUGUGUUUUAUUAAGUAUCCAGUUCUAGUUGUCAUAAGGUCAAGGUACAACUCCGGGUCGUCCUUUUACCGAGGGACACGGCUAUUCGAAUAGAUAAACUUCCCUGCAGGGGUGCACCACAUAACCCAACACGCACGAUCCCAUUUGGCCGGACACACUUUCCUGGGUCAUGCCCGGCCUCAUAAGGUCAACACGUCGCAGCCCCACCUAGGCACAACAGAGAACUCAGCACGCCGGUCUAAAUCCUAUGGCGCAGGGGUCUGGGCCCAUCGCCCAUUGCACACCUGCACGUUGCGAACGCGGCCGAAAGCAGACCUAGCCUAGCAGGCGUUCCAGUCCAAUCCGGCGCGCGCCACUCAGUCGCUGACGUCACGAAGGCUUCGGCUGAUACCACGACGUCGAGUGCCCAUAACUGUUCCCGCGUAGUUGGUUAGUGCGUAUAGACCAAAUGGCCAGACUCAGAUCAAAUACCAAGAUCUCGUUAAGCGUGUUAAGUAUCCGCGAACGCCGACCAGGGCCAGGCCCAUCUCUCUCCUAGGUGGUCUCAACCUGCCCUGUCGCUCCGCCACAAAGUAACAGUCGGGGGCCGUCAGGAACCCAGGCCCAUCUCUACCGGGAUGGAGCCACCUGUCCUUUCAGCCCCCUCAUCAGAAUCACUUGCGGGUACUCAACGAGCCGACCCGACUUUAGUCACCACAUGUGUCAUGUAUAUAAAGUAUAUGGUAUAUACCCGUGAUCACCUCCCGAAGUGAUCACGACCCAGUAGUAUAGCAUGGCAGACGGACAAGAGUGUAAGGCCACUGAUGGAACACUAGCAUCCUAUACUAAGCAGUAGGAUAGCAGGUAAGGGUAACAACUGUAGCAACAAUGAUAGGCUAUGCAGCAGAAUAGGAUUAACCGAAAGCAGUAACAUGCUACACUCUUCUAAUGCAAGCAUGUAUAGAGAAGAAUAGGCGAUAUCUGGUGAUCAAGGGGGGGCUUGCCUGAUUGCUCUAGCAAGAAGGAGGGGUCGUCAACAGCGUAGUCGGUCGGGGCACCAGUAGCGGCGUCGGUCUCGUAGUCUACCGGAGAGAAGAGGGGGAAGAAACAAUGAAUACAAUGCAAACAGAUGCAUGACGAUGCAUGACAUGACAAAGCGUGAUGCUAGGUGUGCCCUAACGCGGUAGGAGGUGGUACCGACGAAGGGGGGAAACAUCCGGGAAAGUAUUCCCGGUGUUUCACGUUUUCGGACAAAUGAACCGGAGGGGGAAAGUUGCGUGUUUGCUAUGCUAGGGAUGUGUGGCGGAUGAACGGGCUGCGUAUCCGGAUUCGUCUCGUCGUUCUGAGCAACUUUCAUGUACAAAGUUUUUCCAUUCGAGCUACGGUUCAUUUUAUAUUAACUUAAAAAGGAUUUUAUCUUUUUCUAAAAUUAACAGAAUUAAUUUAAUUAGAAAAAGGUAAUUAUGACGUCAGCAUGAUGUCAGCAGUCAACGUUGACCGUUGACCUGGUCAACCUGACAGGUGGGUCCCACCUGUUAGGGACUGCUUAGCUAAUUAACAGUAGAUAAUUAGGUUAACUAGUUAUUAGGUUAAUUAAUCUUCAUUAGUUUAACUAAGCGGGAUUAAUUAAGUUAAUUAAUUAGUUAAUUAAUUAAUUAAUUAAUUUAAUUAUUAAUUUUUUUAUAUCUUUUUUUAAAACGUUCAGGGGGCUGGGGCCCCCCUGUCAUAGGCCCCAGGGGCCUUGGCGGGUUUGGUCGCUAGCGGGUGCGGGCAACGGGCGCAACGCCCGACCCGAACGGGCGCACGCCCAGGUGCAAGCGGACCCGGGAGGGCACCGAAACAGGGGAGGCCGGUGGCCACGGCGUGGCCAUGGCCGGAGCGGGGCGAGUCCGCGGUGGUGCGCGGGCGGCCGCCGGAGGUGGCACAGAGGGGCGAGGCCACCGUGGCGACGGCGCGCUGCAGCCCGACUGGUCCCUGGCGCCGGCUAGGGCGGAGGAAGGCGUCGGCCAGGGCAAGGGACAGAGAAGGCGCGGCAGUGGCCGCGAACGGGCGAGGACGGGAGGGCGCAGGCCGGUGCGAGGACGCGCACGAGCGCGGCCCGGCCGCGGUGUCCGAAUGGGCAGGGGAGUGCCGGGGGCGCGCGCACGAUCGAGUGGGCUCGGCCGGGGCGAGGGUGCGCGGUGUUCACGGCGACGGUGACCAGUGUGAUGGGGGGAAGAGAAGAGGAGGCCGGGGGCCUCACCGAGGGAGCGUAGGGCACGGGGCAGCGGUGCUCGAGGUGGGGGACGGGGACGACGCACGCAGGGGAGGCAGGCCGUUGAGGAGGAGGAGGCAGUCGGGCGGGGAAGCUCCGGCGAGGUCCUCGGGCGACGGUGGUGGCGCAGAGCGACGGCGUCAGUGAAGGAGGCGCCGGGCUCGUUGCCCCUUCCCGAUCUGGAUUGGGUCGGGGAAGAGGAGCGAGAGGGGAGGGGAGCCGGAGACGGGUGGCGGGGCGCGGCCGUCGGGGCGGCGCCAGGGGCAGCGGUCGCGUGCGCUGGGGGAUUCGAUCCCCUUCCAGAUCAGAUCGGGUGAGGGAGAGAGGGGAGUGGCGACGUGGGAGGGAGUGGGAGCGAGUGGGUUAGGGUUUCGGUCGCCGGGGGGUUAUGGGGAGUGGGGUGGUUUGGGCCGGCCGGUUGCUGGGCUGGCCGGCUGUGUGGCUAGUUGGGCCACAUGGCCCAGGGGAGAGGGGGGUUUCUUUUCUCCUUUCAUUGUUUUUGUUUUAUUUUCUAAUUUUGUUUUCUUUUAGUCUUUAAUGUAUUUUAGUUUAAAUAAAAUACAAAAGAAACUCCUAAAUUAGUAUUAUCUUUUAACCCACUGCCACAAAAGGUUUUAACCCAAAAUAAAAUAGUUUAGUAUUUUAUAAAAUACCAAAGGCAUUUAAAUAAUAUUUUAGUUACCGCUUAAAUCAUUUUAGAGCAUUAAAACCUUUUAUAAAAGUGUGAUUUCUCCACCGUAAUUACCUAUGCAUUAUUUGGCACAACCCGAACAUUUUAGUUUUAAUAUUUGAAAACCCUUAGCGUUUGACUUGAUUUUGAAUUUGAAUUUGGAACGGUUUCGAAUCAACGCGAGUUUAUCUACAGUAGGGGAGGUGACGUGGCAUCAUUAGCAAAGGUUCGCUGUAGCUUAAUUAUCCGGGCGUCACAGUUCACCACCUCCAUUGGUGCCUCUCCGAUGAUGCGUGAGUAGUUCUUUGUAGACCUUCGGGUCCAUAGUUAGUAGCUAGAUGGCUUUCUCUCUCUCGCUGAAUUCUCAAUACAAUGGUCUCUUGGAGAUCCAUAUGACGUAACUCUUUUUGUGGUGUGUUUGUUGGGAUCUGAUGAACUUUGAGUUUAUGAUCAGUCAUAUCUUUUUAUAUCCAUGAAAGUUAUUUGAGUUUCUUUGAUCUCUUAUAUGCAUGAUCUCAUAUAGCCACGUAUUUCUCCGAUAUUUGGCUUUUGUUGGCCAACUUGAUCUAUUUAUCUUGCAAUGGGAAGAGGUGCCCGGUAGUGGGUUCGAUCUUACGGUGCUCGAUCCCAGUGACAGAAAGGGAACGGGCGCGUAUGUAUCGUUGCUACUAAGGAUAAAAAGACGAGAUCUAUAUCUACCGCCAUAUAGAUAAACGGAUCUUGUCUACAUCAUGUGAUCGUUCUUAUUGCAUUACUCCGUUUUUCCAUGAACUUAAUACACUAGAUGCAUGCUGGAUAGCGGUCGAUGUGUGGAGUAAUAGUAGUAGAUGCAGGCAGGAGUCGGUCUACUAAUCUUGGACGUGAUGCCUAUGUAACGAUCAAUGCCUGGAUAUCAUCAUAAUUAUUCGAGGUUCUAUCAAUUGCCCAACAGUAAUUUGUUUACUCAACGUUUGCUAUUUUUCUCGAGAGAAGCCACUAGUGAAACCUACGGCCCCCGGGUCUUCUUUCUCAUAUAUUUGCUUGCGAUCUAUUUUUCUCUUGCACUUUUAUUAAGAUCUAUUAAACAAAAAAUACAAAAAUACUUUGCUGCACUUUAUUUUAUUUGCGAUCUAUUAUUUCAAUCUAUUACAACUUUCUUCCGUCCACGCACCGUUUCUGGCGCCGUACCCCGAAAGGGAUUGACAACCCCUUUAACACGUCGGGUUGCGAGGUGUUGUUAUUUGUGUGCAGGGGCUGUUUACGUUGUGUUUCUUGGUUCUCCUACUGGUUCAAUAACCUUGGUUUCAUAUCUGAGGGAAACACCUACCGCCGCUGUGCUGCAUCAUUGAUGUCUACUACACAACCUUCUUCUUGUAGACGUUGUUGGGCCUCCAAGUGCAGAGGUUUGUAGGACAGUAGCAAAUUUCCCUCAAGUGGAUGACCUAAGAUUUAUCAAUCCGUGGGAGGCGUAGGAUGAAGAUGGUCUCUCUCAAACAACACUGCAACCAAAUAACAAAGAGUCUCUUGUGUCCCCAACACACCCAAUACAAUGGUAAAUUGUAUAGGUGCACUAGUUCAGCGAAGAGAUGGUGAUACAAGUGCAAUAUGGAUGGUAGAUAUAGGUUUUUGUAAUCUGAAAAUAUAAAAACAGCAAGGUAACUAAUGAUAAAAGUGAGCGUAAAUGGUAUUGCAAUGCUAGGAAACAAGGCCUAGGGUUCAUACUUUCACUAGUGCAAGUUCUCUCAACAAUAAUAACAUAAUUGGAUCACAUAACUAUCCCUCAACAUGCAACAAAGAGUCACUCCAAAGUCACUAAUAGCGGAGAACAAACGAAGAGAUUAUUGUAGGGUAUGAAACCACCUCAAAGUUAUCCUUUCUGAUCGAUCUAUUCAAGAGUCCGUAGUAAAAUAACACGAAGCUAUUCUUUCCGUUCGAUCUAUCAUAGAGUUCGUACUAGAAUAACACCUUAAGAUACAAAUCAACCAAAAACCUAAUGUCACCUAGAUACUCCAAUGUCACCUCAAGUAUUCGUGGGUAUGAUUAUACGAUAUGCAUCACACAAUCUCAGAUUCAUCUAUUCAAUCCAACACAAAGUACUUCAAAGAGUGCCCCAAAGUUUCUACCAGAGAUUCAAGAAGAAAACGUGUGCCAACCCCUAUGCAUAAGUUCAUGAUGUUACGGAACCCGCAAGUUGAUCACCAAAACAUACAUCAAGUAGAUCAUGUGAUAUCCCAUUGUCACCACAGAUAAGCACAUGCAAGACAUACAUCAUGUGUUCUCAAAUCCUUAAAGACUCAAUCCGAUAAGAUAACUUCAAAGGGAAAACUCAAUCCAUUACAAGAGAGUAGAGGGGGAGAAACAUCAUAAGAUCCAACUAUAAUAGCAAAGCUCGCGAUACAUCACGAUCGUGCCAAAUCAAGAACACGAGAGAGAGAGAGAGAGAGAGAGAGAGAGAGAUCAAACACAUAGCUACUGGUACAUACCCUCAGCCCCGAGGGUGAACUACUCCCUCCUCGUCAUGGAGAGCGCCAGGGUGAUGAAGAUGGCCACCGGUGAGGGAUUCCCCCCUCCGGCAGGGUGCCGGAAUAAGGUCCUGAUUGUUUUUUGGUGGCUACAGAGGCUUGCGGCGGCGGAACUCCCGAUCUAGGUUAUUUUCUGGAGGUUUGUGUAUAUAUAAGAGGUUUUGGUGUCGAGAACAAGUCAGGGGGGUCUCCGGGCUGUCCACGAGGUAGGGGCGCGCCUCCCACCCUCGUGGGCAGCCCGGGACUGUUCUGGCCCAACUCUUUUACUCCAUGGCCUUCUUCUGGUCCAAAAAUAAGCUCCGUCAAGUUUCAGGUCAAUUGGACUCCGUUUGGUUUUCCUUUUCUGCGAUACUCAAAAACAAGAAAAAACAGAAACUGGCACUGGGCUCUAGGUUAAUAGGUUAGUCCCAAAAAUCAUAUAGAAUAGCAUAUAACUGCAUAUAAAACAUCCUAGAAGGAUAAUAUAAUAGCAUGAAUACUUCAUAAAUUAUAGAUACGUUGGAGACGUAUCAGCAUCCCCAAGCUUAAUUCCUGCUCGUCCUCGAGUAGGUAAAUGAUAAAAGAAAUAAUUUAUGAAGUGUGAAUGCUAGCAGGUGCACAAGUUUGAUCAAUGAUAAUUUCAAUCACCUUUUCUAGCAUCAUUGUAUGUCAUAACAGUAGCUCAACUCAUAAAACUUUUCAUGAUCAAGUAACAAGCUAUCCACAUGUUAAAGCAUAGACCAUAAACUUUCUUGAAAACUAACAAACUAUGUUUUCAUCAAACAAUUGCAGUUCAUCUUAUUUGCAGGAAGGGUCUAUGUAAGAGCUUUGAUUUAGCAAAUCCCACAUACUCAAUUAUCAUAUAGUCUUCCAUGAUUGCUACCACUCAAAGCAUAUUUUUAGAACAAAUAGCAUCCAUCAAACACAGAGAAAGAUAGGGGCUUAAUGUUUCGCCACCCAACUUAUUUAUCAUAUAGAUAAUUGUCAACAAUAAUAAUUCAUGAUCAAAUAUAUUUGAAUGGUCAUAUAUGCUUAGAUCUUUCCCUAUCACAUGAUGCUUGCCAACUAAAAAGUAGGUUGGAAUGAGAAGGAAUACUACUGACUCUUGCAUAAAAGUAAAACAUAGGCCCUUCGCAGAGGGAAGCAGGGAUUUGCAGAGGUGCCAGAGCUCGAAGCUUUAAAACAGAGAUGAAAAUAAUUUUGAGAGGUAUGCUUUCAUUGUCAACUAAUGACCAAGAGUUCCCAAUAUCUUCCAUACUAGAUACAUUAUAGGCGGUUCCCAAACAGAAAGGUAAAGAUUUUACUCCCCCUCCACCAACAAUCACAGUCCACGGCUUGUCCGAAACAACGGGUGCCAUCCAACUAUCAACAAUCCUGGGGGAGUUUUGUUUAAAUUAUUUGCGAUUUUGUUUUUGAUCUUUUGAUCAUAGGACUGGGCAUCCCAGUUACCAGCCACUUUCUCGUGAAUGAUGAGCGGAGUCCACUCAUCGUGAGAAUAACCCACCUAGCAUGGAAGAUUCUGACAGCCCCUAGUCGCUACAUCAGCGAUUCGGGCAUACAAAACAGAUUAUUAUUUGAAGGUUUAGAGUUUGGCACAUGCAAAUUUACUUGAAACGGCAAGUAAAUACCGCAUAUAGGUAGAUAUGGUGGACACUCAUGGAAGAAACUUGGUUCAAGGAAUUUGGAUGCACAAGCAGUAUUCCCGCUUAGUGCAGAUAUUUUGGCUAGCAAAGGAUUCUAAAUAGCAGGCACCACAUGUUAAAGGAUCCAUAACAAUAUAACUUCUAUACAAAUAUACCCAAGCAUAACUCAUUAUGUUGUCUUCCUUGUCCAACUUCAACUAAUUUGCUCAGGUUUGAAAAUAAUUAAUGGGGCUCACAAUCAUAGAAGAUGUCCAAGAUAGUAUAUUUAUAUGUGAAAUCUCCCUUCCUUCAAUAUUUUUUCAUGAAUUGUUCAAGUGACCAAUACAAUGUUUGCUAACAUUCAAUAAAUUUACCACCUCUGCUUCUUAUAUGUGAAGUCAUUACUCCCCAUGGGAUAAGCAUAUGAAACAUAUAUAAUUUCAGAUUUAUGAUAUUCAAUUCAUUCAACGAUUUACUCAUAGGAUAUAAGUGAAGCACACGAAUAAAUGACAAACUACUCCAAAAAGAUAUAAGUGAAGAUCAAUGAGUAGUUAAAUAAUUAUGUAGCUAUGUGAAGACUCUCUCUCAUUUAAGAAUUUCAGAUCUUGGGAUAUAAAUCAAACAACAAGCAAAACAAAAUAAAACGACACUUCAAGGAUAGCACUCAUCAUGUGAAGAAGCAAAAACUUAGGCUCAACCGAUACUAACCGAUAAUUGUUGAAGAGGAAAGGUGGGAUGCCUACCGGGGCAUCCCCAAGCUUAGAUGCUUGAGACUUCUUGAAAUAUUAUCUUGGGGUGCCUUGGGCAUCCCCAAGCUUGAGCUUUUGUGUCUCCUUAAUUCCUCUCAUAUCACGGUUUCCUAAAUCUCGAAAGCUUCAUCCACACCAAACUCAACAAGAACUCGUGAGAUAAGUUAGUAUAAACCAAUGCAAAAACUUUAUCAUUCUCUACUGUAGAAAAUCACAAAAAUUAUUAUUCAACAUUGCAUACUAAAUGUCUCUGCAUAUUUAAUACUCCUAUCCUCAAAUAGAAUCAUUAAACAAGCAAACAUAUGCAAACAAUGCAAACAUAACAACAAUCUGCCAAAACAGUACAGUCUGUAAAGAAUGCAAGAGUAUCAAUACUUCCCUAACUCCAAACAUUAUGAAAUUCUACCACACUGUAGAAAAUUUAUCAGAGCUUAUUAUGCAAAAAGUUUCAACAUUUUAUCACAUUCUGACUUUUCUAGGGAAUUUUUGCAACAGCGGUAAACUUUCUGUUUUGAAACAGCAACAUGUAUAUUUGCAAAAUAAUCAUAGUAAAAGCUAUCCUUGACAUUUUUAUUGAAACUAGAGAUGCAAAACAUUAUUAUAAAUAACAGCAAGCAAAUACUAACAAAAGAAAAUGACGCUCCAAGCAAAACACAUAUCAUGUGGUGAAUAAAAAUGUAUCUCCAAGUAAAGUUACCGAUGAACGAAGACGAAAGAGGGGAUGCCAUCCGGGGCAUCCCCAAGCUUAGGCUUUUGGUUCUCCUUGAAUAUUACCUUGGGGUGCCUUGGGCAUCCCCAAGCUUAGGCUCUUGCCACUCCUUAUUCCAUAGUCCAUCGAAUCUUUACCCAAAACUUGAAAACUUCACAACACAAAACUUAACAGAAAACUUGUAAGCUCCGUUAGUAUAAGAAAAUAAAUCACCACUUAGGUACUGUUGUGAACUCAUUCUAAAUUCAUAUUGGUGUAAUAUCUACUGUAUUCCAACUUAUCUAUGGUUCAUACCCUCCGAUACUACUCAUAGAUUCAUCAAAAUAAGCAAACAACACAUAGAAAACAGAAUAUGUCAAAAACAGAACAUGCUGUAGUAAUCUGUAUCAUUCGAAUACUUCUGGAACUCCAAAAAUUCUGAAAUAAAUUGGUGGACCUGAGGAAUUUGUCUAUUAAUCUUCAUCAGAAAGAAUCAACCUAAAAUCACUCUCUAGUAAAAAAUGGCAGCUAAUCUCGUGAGCGCAAAAGUUUCUGUUUUUUACAGCAAGAUCACAUAGACUUCACCCAAGUCUUCCCAAAGGUUCUACUUGGCACAAACACUAACUAAAACAUAAAACCACAUCUAAACAGAGGCUAGAUGAAUUAUUUAUUACUAAACAGGAACAAAAAUCAAGGAACAAAAGUAAAAUUGGGUUGCCUCCCAACAAGCGCUAACGUUUAACGCCCCUAGCUAGGCAUGAUGAUUUCAAUGAUGCUCACAUAAAAGAUAAGAAUUGAAACAUAAAGAGAGCAUCAUGAAUAAUAUGACUAUCACAUUUAAGUCUAACCCACUUCCUAUGCAUAGGGAUUUUGUGAACAAACAAUUUAUGGGAACAAUAAUCAACUAGCAUAGGAAGGCAAAGCAAGCAUAACUUGAAGAUUUUCAACACAUAGAGAUGAAACUUGAUAUUAUUGCAAUUCCUACAAGCAUAUGUUCCUCACUCAUAAUAAUUUUUAGUAGCAUCAUGAAUGAAUUCAACAAUAUAACUAUCACCUAAAGCAUUCUUUUCAUGAUCUACAAGCAUAGAAAUUUUAUUACUCUCCACAUAAGCAAAUUUAUUCUCAUCAAUAGUAGUGGGAGCAAACUCAGCAAAAUAACUAUCAUGUGAAGCAUAAUCCAAUUGAAAAUUAAAAUCAUGAUGACAAGUUUCAUGGUUAUAUUUAUUCUUUAUAGCAUACGUGUCAUCACAAUAAUCAUCAUAAAUAGGAGGCAUGCUUUCAUCAUAAUAAAUUAGCUCAUCAAAACUUGGGGGACUAAACAUAUCAUCUUCAUCAAACAUAGCAUCCCCAAGCUUGUGGCUUUGCAUAUCAUUAGCAUCAUGGGUAUUCAAAUAAUUCAUACUAACAACAUUGCAAUCAUGCUCAUCAUUCACAUAUUUUAUGCCAAGCAUUCUAUGUAAUUCUUCUUCUAGUACUUGAGCACAAUUUUCCUUCCCAUCAUUUUCACGAAAGAUAUUAAAAAGAUGAAGCAUAUGAGGCACCCUCAAUUCCAUUUUUUUGUAGUUUUCUUUUAUAAACUAAACUAGUGAUAAAACAAGAAACUAAAAGAUUCAAUUGCAAGAUCUAAAGAUAUACCUUCAAGUACUCACCUCCCCGGCAACGGCGCCAGAAAAGAGCUUGAUGUCUACUACACAACCUUCUUCUUGUAGACGUUGUUGGGCCUCCAAGUGCAGAGGUUUGUAGGACAGUAGCAAAUGUCCCUCAAGUGGAUGACCUAAGGUUUAUCAAUCCGUGGGAGGCGUAGGAUGAAGAUGGUCUCUCUCCAACAACCCUGCAACCAAAUAACAAUGAGUCUCUUGUGUCCCCAACACACCCAAUACAAUGGUAAAUUGUAUAUGUGCACUAGUUCGGCGAAGAGAUGGUGAUACAAGUGCAAUAUGGAUGGUAGAUAUAGGUUUUUGUAAUCUGAAAAUAUGAAAACAGCAAGGUAACUAAUGAUAAAAGUGAGCGUAAAUGGUAUUGCAAUGCUAGGAAACAAGGCCUUGGGUUCAUACUUUCACUAGUGCAAGUUCUCUCAACAAUAAUAACAUAAUUGGAUCACAUAACUAUCCCUCAACAUGCAACAAAGAGUCACUCCAAAGUCACUAAUAGCGGAGAACAAAAGAAGAGAUUAUUGUAGGGUACGACACCACCUCAAAGUUAUCCUUUCUGAUCGAUCUAUUCAAGAGUCCGUAGUAAAAUAACACGAAGCUAUUCUUUCCGUUCGAUCUAUCAUAGAGUUCGUACUAGAAUAACACCUUAAGAUACAAAUCAACCAAAACCCUAAUGUCACCUAGAUACUCCAAUGUCACCUCAAGUAUCCGUGGGUAUGAUUAUAUGAUAUGCAUCACACAAUCUCAGAUUCAUCUAUUCAAUCCAACACAAAGUACUUCUAAGAGUGACCCAAAGUUUCUACCGAAGAGUCAAGACAAAAACGUGUGCCAACCCCUAUGCAUAAGUUCACGAUGUUACGGAACCCGCAAGUUGAUCACCAAAACAUACAUCAAGUAGAUCACGUGAUAUCCCAUUGUCACCACAGAUAAGCACAUGCAAGACAUACAUCAAGUGUUCUCAAAUCCUUAAAGACUCAAUCCGAUAAGAUAACUUCAAAGGGAAAACUCAAUCCAUUACAAGAGAGUAGAGAGGGAGAAACAUCAUAAGAUCCAACUAUAAUAGCAAAGCUCGCGAUACAUCAAGAUCGUGCCAAAUCAAGAACACGAGAGAGAGAGAGAGAGAGAUCAAACACAUAGCUACUGGUACAUACCCUCAGCCCCGAGGGUGGACUACUCCCUCCUCGUCAUGGAGAGCGCCGGGAUGAUGAAGAUGGCCACCGGUGAGGGAUUCCCCCCUCCGGCAGGGUGCCGGAACAGGGUCCCGAUUGGUUUUUGGUGGCUACAGAGGCUUGCGGCGGCGGAACUCCCGAUCUAGGUUAUUUUCUGGAGGUUUUGUAUAUAAAAGAGGUUUUGGCAUCGAGAACAAGUCAGGGGGGUCUCCGGGCUGUCCACGAGGUAGGGGGGCGCGCCCAGGGGGUGGGCGCGCCUCCCACCCUCGUGGGCAGCCCGGGACUCUUCUGGCCCAACUCUUUUACUCCAUGGCCUUCUUCUGGUCCAAAAAUAAGCUCCGUCAAGUUUCAGGUCAAUUGGACUCCGUUUGGUUUUCCUUUUCUGCGAUACUCAAAAACAAGAAAAAACAGAAACUGGCACUGGGCUCUAGGUUAAUAGGUUAGUCCCAAAAAUCAUAUAAAAUAGCAUAUAAAUGCAUAUAAAACAUCCUAGAAGGAUAAUAUAAUAGCAUGAAUACUUCAUAAAUUAUAGAUACGUUGGAGACAUAUCAAUCAUCCCUUCCUCUUUGGGGAAAUACCGACGUAGCUUCAAGCGACAUCAAUCACCACUUAAUGUCAUCCUUCAUGGGUUGUAUGAGAUCUUCCUCUUGAUGCAAACCUAUGGAAACAUACCUAACCCCACAUAGAACUCUCACGUAGACCAUGGGUUAGUACACAAAGCGUAAUGGACAAUGCUUACCAUACCAUGGGAUCACUUGAUCUCUCUCCGUACAUCUUGUAUGCUUUGUGUGUUGAUCAACUUGAUUCACUCUUUGACUUAGUCUUGAGAGUAGUGUAGUUUGGUAGAAUGGUUUGCAAAGUUUUAGGCCAAAUCGAUGAGUGUAGGUGGUACUUCAUGUACAACUUGUUCUUUGGUCAAAAUCUUUGGUAAUUUGUGUAGGUCAAAUGGAGUGGUGGACUUUGAGGAAAUGAGGGUGGUGAGGUUGUUUUGUCAUGGUUGAUCACCAUGGCAAAUUUGAGGUCCAAUGGAUGGGUGAAAAUAUACUUCCUUCACAAAAUGGUUUGGUGUAUAAAAAGUUUGGGAAUUUGUGGAUGGGUUUGUAAGAGUUGGGUGAGGCUCAAAACUGGUGGUUAGGCUUUAUGUGGCUAGGUUAUGAUCUAUGCAAAAUUUACCGAAAAAGGCUUUCGCCCCGCUUUAUAUAUAAAGCACCAACCAACAUCCGAGCCGAUACAAACGACAACACGCAACACCAACACACACCCAAGGCCAGAUACAUAGGUGCCAAGGACCUACAACAACAACACACCGAACGACUUGAAGUAGACUAAACAAUGACUGUAAGCAACACUACGGAGCCGCCGGAGCCUUUCAAGGUGAAGAUACCACGAAGAGGUGAAGCUGAGAGUUGACGAACCGUGAGCUCCAAGACAGUGCCUUCAAGAAGGAUACAACACCGAAGCGCCGCCACCACCCGAUCCAAAGAUCUAGAUUUUCAUCUGGAGCACGACGAAGGGAAAGGAGCAACCACAACGGAGACUUCAGGAAGAUGACGACGACCACGAGCGCCGCCUCCGUCGGCCCGGCCAAUGCCACGCAAGAUUUUCACCCCGGCAAUCAUACUCCGCCUUCACCAAGGUGCUGCCAGGCACAAGACCCAAACGGCACACCACCACGAAACAUCAAACCGCCAGCCACCACGCCGCCCCCGCGGCCAUGCCUGCUAGCCGCCCGCACCUGAGCCGCGAGCUCAGCCCACGAGCACCGCAGCUCCCGCCAACCAGACCGCCGUCCAGGAAACAAGACACCCCAUAGGUCCUUCAAGUUGCGAGCGAUGAACCGACCGGCUUGCUCCAACCGCCGCCAGAGUGCCGGUGACCAGAACGACCAGACCGAUCAGGGAGCCAUCGGGUCUAAGAAGAGGUGAAGCGGGAGCGGACGUCGUCAACGCUCGGCACCCCUGCUGGUGACGGGUGGCCCGACCGCAUCGGAGCCACCUAUCACACCCACCACCUCUUCCAAACGCCACCCCUGAUGCCCAACCUCUGCUCCCAGCUGGAUCUGCAUCUGGCAAGGACCGACCACCCGCCCAGCCACGCAGAGAUCGCCGGACCGGCCGUAGACGAAGCCGAAGACGACCAACAGGGCAUCCACACAGGGCACCUGCGAAUGAACAGAAGCCAAACCUGACUCCAGCCGUCGCCGCAACGCCGGCCCGACCAAACACCGUGAGGCCACCACGCCGUAGCCCACGCCCCUCGCAAUGACCAACGCCGGGCCGCUGCCUCCACCUCGCGCCCCUUGCCCACACCAGUUGGAAGGAUCCAGCCGCAGCAGGCACGCGCACCACCCACAGCCUCUACCUGCAGCCACCGCCGUCGGCCCACACCGCCCGCAGCCCACACCGCCCGCCGCCGCCAACUGCCAAAUCUACUGCUACCACAGCCGCAGGCACGCCCCCCUCCCUCCCACUUAGCAGCCGGCCAUGGCGCCCAAAGCCCCGAGGGCUACCGCUGGAGAGGCAUGUGCUGCGCCACCGCGCCCUGCAACCGCACGGAGUCCCGACCCAGCGGCGCCGGCCCGCACCGGAGCCCCUGCGCGAGGAGGCGAGAGGUCCCGCCGCCGACGACGCCGGCUGGGCUUCGCCCAGCCGCGUCCCCUGGCGGCGGCGAGGAGGAGGAGGGCCGGGAAGGGAGUUGCGGGCGGCGGCAGCUGGGGAUCCUCCCCGUAGCCCACGGGCACGACGAGGGAGGGAGAGGAUAAGGUACAAUCCUUGAUUCGUCUCUAUGCAAAAUUUCAGCUUCAUAGGACAAAGGCACAAUGCACUUGCUUCAUAGGUCAACAGAUUUGGCAGACACUUAAGAAGGAUGCUCUAGUCAAAAUUUGAUUUAUAGGUGUUUGAAUGGAAAUAGAGUUUAUAGGUAUAGGAGGGUUUCUGGAAAAUUUGGUGAGGCCAAAGUGUCAAAGGAAAAAGGGUCCCCAGUGCAAAGAUGGUCUCUAGGUUUUAAUUUUAGUAAAAGGGUUUAGGGUUUUAGUGAUCCAAACUUAAGACAAAAUUAUCCAGGGUCAAGGUAACUUGGGUAGGUUAACAAGGCUUGAGCAACCAAGCAAGUCAAUCAUCAUCAAGUAUACACCAAGUUUCAAGAAAAUCCAAGAACACCAGAAGAAAAAGGCAGAAGCCACAACUUGCAAAAGGAAUUUUCAGGCAGUGAAAAUCCAGGUUGUUACAACCGGUGAACAACUGUGACGAUUCUAGGUAAUGAGGUUGUGCUUCCCGACGAACCUUCACCCCACACCCUAAGAUAGAUAUUGUGGUUGUUGCUUCCUCGACGAGGUCGGCCUCCCCCAUCUCAUGCUCAGGGCGACAGGAAAGUGACCGACACCGCGAAUAUUUCAAGUACAUGAUAUUUAGCAAACCCUCCUUUUUUUUAAUUUAGGGAACCCAAAGACUAAGUGCUUCUCUCUCUACGUAUAUAUCUUUGUACUUGAAAAAUAAGGAGUAUAGAAGUCAAGUAAAAAAAAGAGUACAAAUUAUGUCUAAGUCGAACGGUGCCAAGUUUGAUUAAAAUUUAGGAAAACUAUCAAUCAUACCAAUACUCAAUUUUUGCACUAUCAGACGUCACACAUUUAUACGUCUUCUUUUCAAGCAUGGACGGAGUACAUGCCUAAGUUUUAACAUAACCAAAUCUUUAGCGGGUUUUUUUUUCUAAAAUUAUCAUGCUUGCAGCAUCUCUUUUUUUGACAAGAACAGCAGGAGCUCUGCCUUUGCAUUGUAGAUGGGAAGGAGGUACAUGGUACAAGUAGAGGCGGCAAACUGCCCAAAAAAGCCAAAAACACAGGAAAACACUUGCUCUCGUACAGAGAGCUACAGAUGCAAACUAGACAGCAUCCUAAACCAUGUUUCUACCCAGCCACCUGGAUGGAAGGACGGAAGGCCUCGUUGAGCAUUUUGAUAUCAUCCUGAAUGAGAUUCACCAAGGCUCUUGACGCCAUCUCAGCAUUCUCAAAGACCCUUCUGUUCCGUUCCUUUCAAAGAUGCCAAGCAAUGUAUGCCGAGAGGGAUGUUUCCUCCGCAGCCUUGGAUUGCGCACCGCAAUGCAUAUAGAGCAUGUUCCACCAAUCUGAAACUGAGUUUGCAGAGUGCACCACGUUGUAAAUCAUGUCACUUGUACCCUGGAAUAGGUACCAGACCUCUCUCGCAUAGCUGCACCGCAGCGUGAUAUGUUAUGCGGUUUUGGGCUCCUGAUCACACAGCCGACAGCAGGCAUUGUAUGGCCAUCGUCUAGCCUGCAGCCUGUCCGCAGUCCAAUUUCUAUUCUGCAGCAAUAGCCAGAUGUAGAACCGUACCUUUCCCUCAAGCUUUGUUCUCGACACGUGUGCAAUCCCGGGCUGCUCAAUCCAUGCAGCGAACUAGAUCUCAUAAGCAGAGCAGGCCGAGUAUCUUCCAUUUGCAGUGACAUUUUCGAUAGCAUUGAUUCUUAGCAUACAGCAAAACUAACAUGAGGGGCUCGCAUGUUAGAUGCAAGCAACCGUCCGACAGAGCUGUUAGAUGGGUGUAGUUGGAGCAGAAGUCACUUCUAUCCACCAUUUUAACAUAGCUUAAAAAUUGCAAACAAUGUACUAUACGCUAAAAAAUCGUGAACUGCAAAAACUAUAUGCUAAUUAAGAGUUACAACCCUAGCCAACACCCGAUGCUUUGCCAAAAACUGUGUUUCUUUGAAUAAGAUUUAGUUUACUAACUACAAGUUGAUACAGAUCAUUGCAAGAAUUGCAAACGAACAAUGUUGCAAAAAUAAUUAGGAAACAUUAUGCAGCAUGUGUAUGCACAUUUUGGAACGGAGGGUGUAUAUGUCAAGUAGUACUGCUAAAAUUGCUCUCAGACUGCAUAAAUGACCUAUUACAGUAUCUUACAGGUCACUGCCAUUUCUACACACACAACUACAUGUGGGAAGCAGAGUUAAAUACACUAGGGGUGCCUCAACUUGUUCGGUACGGUCAGUUUGGUGCCUAAAGUUGUAAAAUACAUGAAACUGAUGCUCGAACUUGUCUGGUUGUGCAAAUACGGUGCCUCCUUCCAUAUCCAGACGUACGCUAUGCCGGCAUGGAGUGACAGCAUGGCGGUGGCCCACAUGUAAGUGGCUGAGAGCAGGGGAAGAGCUGGGUAGCCUGCGCGUGAGGAGUCGCCUCAUAUUUUAUUUAAUCACGUAUGAAAGCCAAUAGUAAAAAUAAAUUGCAUGAUUUAGAAUCCAUGCUGAGAUCUCACAGUCGCAGAUUGUAUUGUACGCAUAAGCUAUCCACCACGUCAAAAUAUGCACAGUGGACUUUCAUAAGGUCGAAUUAUAUAUACGGUGUUGCUGUGCAAAAGGUAACUUUGGAGCACGGGCAUAUUGUGCCAGUUUCUCUUAAGUUCAGAGAAUUGGAUUUUUACAACUAAAAAAAUUCCAAAAUCUUUUAUACGUGCACACAUAGAAGUGUAAUAUAUUGUGCGAAUUUUCAUCAAAAUUCGCGUUUGUAUGUGAGAGAUACCAAAAAUAUACAUACAUGCAAAAUUUUCCUUGUUAUUUGUCAAGAAUUUUGUCUUUAUUGCAGGGCAUAAUAUAACAUAAUUUUGUACGAAAUUUGACAGUCAGUGCACGUGCAUACGUUUCUGGUGUGAAAAAAAUCUGAACUUUUAAGUGACAAUUUUUAACCUUUAAAAAAAUGCCCAGUGGCCACCGUGCUCCGAAAAUCCGCUUUGGCUGCUAUGUACCUCUUCAAGCUAUUCCUUUAUAUAUGGCACUCGUUUGGGCCCACACAAGUUUUAUUUUUAUUUUUCAAGUUUAUGUUUAUUUUUGGUCUUUCAUAUUGUUUUUACCUUUUGAAAGAAGAAAUGCAAGAAAAAGUUACAGCUGCCAUGAACUUAAAAGAAAGCGCUAGUGCAUUUCAUGUUUUUGGAAAAUGUUUCACAUGUAUUCAAAAGUUAUAACGUGUUUACGAAAUUUGUCAGGUUCAACAUGUUUUAGAAUAUGUCCAUAGAGUAUUAACUUUUGUGUGUGUGUAAAAUUAUCCUUACAAUUCUACAAACACGGUUGACAUGUUUUGAUACAUUUCUAGAAUUUAAUAUUACUACACAGUAAUUUUCAUAUAUGUUGAAUAAUUUCAAAAAAAUACAAUGCUGUCAAUUGUUUAAUAAUUUUGCAUUUCAGAAAUACAAUGAAGAUACACCAUAAUCAUGUAUCCUUCUGGUCCGGAAUGAAGAUAUAUAAAUUUACACAAUAAUCUUAAAUAUUUUUUGAAACUUUUAAAUCCACAUAUAUUUUUGAAAAAGUUAAUUUUACCUCUUCAAAGUACACAAUGAAAAGAAAAAAAAAUAGUAACUGCAUAUCGAUAAUUAUUGUAUUUUUUAUAUGGGAAAUUUGCGUGUCAUAAAACUAAACAGGAACUUGGAGAAAAAAUAAAAAAUAAAACCGGUAGAUUACGCAUCAGAAAAAUUGCAAAGCAACACGUGGAAUUGGUCUACAUAAUUUUCUAGCUAUUACUUGUACAUACCGGAUAGUUUGCCCACGUGGGCAGAUCGUGACGUUUGGUAACCUGGAGGUGCAGGUUCUAAACACAGUCAUGGAGAUCUUUUUUCAUGUUAUUUCUCUCUAGCAUACACUGUAUUUGAGGACUUCCCUACAUGAUUAAAUAAAAUACAAGGGAUGUUCCUGCAAAAUAAUUCGUCCCUGCACGUAUCCACUUACAUGUGGGCCACUGCAAUGCUGGAACUUCACGUGGGCAGGGCGUAUGUUUGAAUACGGAAGGAGGCACCGUAUUUGCAUGACUGGACAAGUUUGGGCACUAAUUUUAUGUAUUUUGCAACUUUAGGCACCAAACUGACCGUGCAGGACAAGUUUAGGCACCUCCGGUGUAUUUAACUCUUAGUCAUGCUUUUGAAAGAUGAUUUCCCUAGUGAAAUUCUUCUCUUUUUUAGGUUAAUAUGCCCAAGUCCUAUGAGGAUUAUAUCAGAAAAAAGAUAGAGAUCGCACGCAUUAUUGAAAUUCUUCCUUCCGAGAAGACUGAGGCAACAGUAUAAUUAAGAUUCUGAAGAAUGAGAUAAUUGGCAAACAAGCGUUGUUUAUAAGAUUAUGAAACUGAACCAUCCAUUGUCAUGUUGUACUGUGCUUCCCACAUGUAGUUGUGUGUAGAAAUGGCAGUGACCUGUAAGAUACUGUAAUAGGUCAUUUAUGCAGUCUGAGAGCAAUUUUAGCAGUAUUACUUGACAUGUACACCCUCCGUUCCAAAAUGUGCAUACACAUGCUGCAUAAUGUUUCCUAAUUAUUUUUGCAACAUUGUUCGUUUGCAAUUCUUGCAAUGAUCUGUAUCAACUUGUAGUUAGUAAACUAAAUCUUAUUCAAAGAAACGCAGUUUUUGGCAAAGCAUCGGGUGUUGGCUAGGGUUGUAACUCUUAAUUAGCAUAUAGUUUUUGCAGUUACACGAUUUUUUAGCGUAUAGUACAUUGUUUGCAAUUUUUAAGCUAUGUUAAAAUGGUGGAUAGAAGUGACUUCUGCUCCAACUACACCCAUCUAACAGCUCUGUCAGACGGUUGCUUGCAUCUAACAUGAGAGCCCCUCAUGUUAGUUUUGUUGUAUGCUAAGAAUCAAUGCUAUCGAAAAUGUCACUGCAAAUGGAAGAUACUCGGCCUGCUCUGCUUAUGAGAUCUAGUUCGCUGCAUGGAUUGAGCAGCCCGGGAUUGCACACGUAUCGAGAACAAAGCUUGAGGGAAAGGUACGGUUCUACAUCUGGCUAUUGCUGCAGAAUAGAAAUUGGACUGCGGACAGGCUGCAGGCUAGACGAUGGCCAUACAAUGCCUGCUGUCGGCUGUGUGAUCAGGAGCCUGAAACCGCAGAACAUAUCACGCUGCGGUGCAGCUAUGCGAGAGAGGUCUGGUACCUAUUCCAGGGUACAAGUGACAGGAUUUACAACGUGGUGCACUCUGCAAACUCAGUUUCAGAUUGGUGGAACAGGCUCUAUAUGCAUUGCGGUGCACAAUCCAAGGCUGCGGAGGAAACAUCCCUCUCGGCAUACAUUGCUUGGCAUCUUUGAAAGGAACGGAACAUAAGGGUCUUUGAGAAUGCUGAGAUGGCGUCAAGAGCCUUGGUGAAUCUCAUUCAGGAUGAUAUCAAAAUGCUCAACGAGGCCUUCCGUCCUUCCAUCCAGGUGGCUGGGUAGAAACAUGGUUUAGGAUGCUGUCUAGUUUGCAUCUGUAGCUCUCUGUACGAGAGCAAGUGUUUUCCUGUGUUUUUGGCUUUUUUGGGCAGUUUGCCACCUCUACUUGUACCAUGUACCUCCUUCCCAUCUACAAUGCAAAGGCAGAGCUCCUGCUGUUCUUGUCAAAAAAAGAGAUGCUGCAAGCAUGAUAAUUUUUGAAAAAAAAAUCCGCUAAAGAUUUGGUUAUGUUAAAACUUAGGCAUGUACUCCGUCCAUGCUUGAAAAGAAGACGUAUAAAUGUGUGACGUCUGAUAGUGCAAAAAUUGAGUAUUGGUAUGAUUGAUAGUUUUCCUAAAUUUUAAUCAAACUUGGCACCGUUCGACUUAGACAUAAUUUGUACUCUUUUUUUUACUUGACUUCUAUACUCCUUAUUUUUCAAGUACAAAGGUAUAUACGUAGAGAGAGAAGCACUUAGUCUUUGGGUUCCCUAAAUUAAAAAAAAGGAGGGUUUGCUAAAUAUCAUGUACUUGAAAUAUUCGCGGUGUCGGUCACUUUCCUGUCGCCCUGAGCAUGAGAUGGGGGAGGCCGACCUCGUCGAGGAAGCAACAACCACAAUAUCUAUCUUAGGGUGUGGGGUGAAGGUUCGUCGGGAAGCACAACCUCAUUACCUAGAAUCGUCACAGUUGUUCACCGGUUGUAACAACCUGGAUUUUCACUGCCUGAAAAUUCCUUUUGCAAGUUGUGGCUUCUGCCUUUUUCUUCUGGUGUUCUUGGAUUUUCUUGAAACUUGGUGUAUACUUGAUGAUGAUUGACUUGCUUGGUUGCUCAAGCCUUGUUAACCUACCCAAGUUACCUUGACCCUGGAUAAUUUUGUCUUAAGUUUGGAUCACUAAAACCCUAAACCCUUUUACUAAAAUUAAAACCUAGAGACCAUCUUUGCACUGGGGACCCUUUUUCCUUUGACACUUUGGCCUCACCAAAUUUUCCAGAAACCCUCCUAUACCUAGAAACUCUAUUUCCAUUCAAACACCUAUAAAUCAAAUUUUGACUAGAGCAUCCUUCUUAAGUGUCUGCCAAAUCUGUUGACCUAUGAAGCAAGUGCAUUGUGCCUUUGUCCUAUGAAGCUGAAAUUUUGCAUAGAGACGAACCAAGGAUUGUACCUUAUCCUCUCCCUCCCUCGUCGUGCCCGUGGGCUAUGGGGAGGAUCCCCAGCUGCCGCCGCCCGCAACUCCCUUCCCGGCCCUCCUCCUCCUCGCCGCCGCCAGGGGACGCGGCUGGGCGAAGCCCAGCCGGCGUCGUCGGCGGCGGGACCUCUCGCCUCCUCACGCAGGGGCUCCGGUGCGGGCCGGCGCCGCUGGGUCGGGACUCCGUGCGGUUGCAGGGCGCGGUGGCGCAGCACAGGCCUCUCCAGCAGUGGCCCUCGGGGCUUUGGGCGGCGUGGCNNNNNNNNNNNNNNNNNNNNNNNNNNNNNNNNNNNNNNNNNNNNNNNNNNNNNNNNNNNNNNNNNNNNNNNNNNNNNNNNNNNNNNNNNNNNNNNNNNNNNNNNNNNNNNNNNNNNNNNNNNNNNNNNNNNNNNNNNNNNNNNNNNNNNNNNNNNNNNNNNNNNNNNNNNNNNNNNNNNNNNNNNNNNNNNNNNNNNNNNNNNNNNNNNNNNNNNNNNNNNNNNNNNNNNNNNNNNNNNNNNNNNNNNNNNNNNNNNNNNNNNNNNNNNNNNNNNNNNNNNNNNNNNNNNNNNNNNNNNNNNNNNNNNNNNNNNNNNNNNNNNNNNNNNNNNNNNNNNNNNNNNNNNNNNNNNNNNNNNNNNNNNNNNNNNNNNNNNNNNNNNNNNNNNNNNNNNNNNNCGUAGAUUUGGCAGUUGGCGGCGGCGGGCGGCGUGGGCUGCGGGCGGUGUGGGCCGACGGCGAUGGCUGCAGGUAGAGGCUGUGGGUGGUGCGCGUGCCUGCUGCGGCUGGUCCUUCCAGCUGGUGUGGGAAAUGGGCGCGAGGUGGAGGCAGCGGCCCGGCGUUGGUCGUUGCGAGGGGCGUGGGCUACGGCGUGGUGGCCUCACGGUGUUUGGUCGGGCCGGCGUUGCGGCGACGGCUGGAGUCAGGUUUGGCAUCUGUUCAUUCGCAGGUGGCCUGUGUGGAUGCCCUGUUGGUUGUCUUCGGCUUCGGCUACGGCCUGUCCGGCGAUCUCUGCAUGGCUGGGCGGGUGGUCGGUCCUUGCCAGAUACAGAUCCAGCUGGGAGCAGAGGUUGGGCGUCAGGGGUGGCGUUUGGAAGAGGUGGUGGGUGUGAUAGGUGGCUCCGAUGCGGUCGGGCCACCCGUCACCAGCAGGGGUGCCGAGCGUUGACGACGUCCGCUCCCGCUUCACCUUUUCUUAGACCUGAUGGCUCCCUGAUCGGUCUGGUCGUUCUGGUCACCGGCACUCUGGCGGCGGUUGGAGCAAGCCGGUCGGUUCAUCGCUCGCAACUUGAAGGACCUAUGGGGUGUCUUGUUUCCUGGACGGCGGUCUGGUUGGCGGGGGCUGCGGUGCUCGUGGGCAGAGCUCGUGGCUCAGGUGCAGGCGGCUAGCAGCCAUGGCCGCGGGGGCGGCGUGGUGGCUGGCGGUUUGAUGUUUCGUGGUGGUGUGCCAUUUGGGUCUUGUGCCUGGCGGCACCUUGGUGAAGGCGGAGUAUGAUUGCCGGGGUGAAAAUCUUGCCUGGCAUUGGCCGAGCCGACGGAGGCGGCGCCCGUGGUCGUCGUCAUCUUCCUGAAGUCUCCGUUGUGGUUGCUCCUUUCCCUUCGUCGUGCUCCAGAUGAAAAUCUAGAUCUUUGGAUCGGGUGGUGGCGGCGCUUCGGUGUUGUAUCCUUCCUGAAGGCACUGUCUUGGAGCUCACGGUUCAUCAACUCUCAGCUUCACCUCUUCGUGGUAUCUUCACCGUGAAAGGCUCCGGCGGCUCCGUAGUGUUGCUUACAGUCAUUGUUUAGUCUACUUCAAGUCGUUCGGUGUGUUGUUGUUGUAGGUCCUUGGCACCUAUGUAUCUGGCCUUGGGUGUGUGUUGGUGUGGCGUGUUGUCGUUUGUAUCGGCUCGGAUGUUGGUUGGUGCUUUAUAUAUAAAGCGGGGCGAAAGCAUUUUUCGGUAAAUUUUGCAUAGAUCAUAACCUAGCCACAUAAAGCCUAACCACCAGUUUUGAGCCUCACCCAACUCUUACAAACCCAUCCACAAAUUCCCAAACUUUUUAUACACCAAACCAUUUUGUGAAGGAAGUAUAUUUUUCACCCAUCCAUUGGACCUCAAAUUUGCCAUGGUGAUCAACCAUGACAAAACAACCUCACCACCCUAAUUUCCUCAAAGUCCACCACUCCAUUUGACCUACACAAAUUAUCAAAGAUUUUGACCAAAGAACAAGUUGUACAUGAAGUACCACCUACACUCAUCGAUUUGGCCUAAAACUUUGCAAACCAUUCUACCAAACUACACUACUCUCAAGACUAAGUCAAAGAGUGAAUCAAGUUGAUCAACACACAAAGCAUACAAGAUGUACGGAGAGAGAUCAAGUGAUCCCAUGGUAUGGUAAGCAUUGUCCAUUACGCUUUGUGUACUAACCCAUGGUCUACGUGAGAGUUCUAUGUGGGGUUAGGUAUGUUUCCAUAGGUUUGCAUCAAGAGGAAGAUCUCAUACAACCCAUGAAGGAUGACAUUAAGUGGUGAUUGAUGUCGCUUGAAGCUACGUCGGUAUUUCCCCAAAGAGGAAGGGAUGAUUGAUAUGUCUCCAACGUAUCUAUAAUUUAUGAAGUAUUCAUGCUAUUAUAUUAUCCUUCUAGGAUGUUUUAUAUGCAUUUAUAUGCUAUUUUAUAUGAUUUUUGGGACUAACCUAUUAACCUAGAGCCCAGUGCCAGUUUCUGUUUUUUCUUGUUUUUGAGUAUCGCAGAAAAGGAAAACCAAACGGAGUCCAAUUGACCUGAAACUUGACGGAGCUUAUUUUUGGACCAGAAGAAGGCCAUGGAGUAAAAGAGUUGGGCCAGAAGAGUCCCGGGCUGCCCACGAGGGUGGGAGGCGCGCCCACCCCCUGGGCGCGCCCCCCUACCUCGUGGACAGCCCGGAGACCCCCCUGACUUGUUCUCGAUGCCAAAACCUCUUUUAUAUACAAAACCUCCAGAAAAUAACCUAGAUCGGGAGUUCCGCCGCCGCAAGCCUCUGUAGCCACCAAAAACCAAUCGGGACCUUGUUCCGGCACCCUGCCGGAGGGGGGAAUCCCUCACCGGUGGCCAUCUUCAUCAUCCCGGCGCUCUCCAUGACGAGGAGGGAGUAAUCCACCCUCGGGGCUGAGGGUAUGUACCAGUAGCUAUGUGUUUGAUCUCUCUCUCGUGUUUUUUGCAUGUAUGUAUAUUUUUGGUAUCUCUCACAUACAAACGCGAAUUUUGAUGAAAAUUCGCACAAUAUAUUACACUUCUAUGUGUGCACGUAUAAAAGAUUUUGGAAUUUUUUUUAGUUGUAAAAAUCCAAUUCUCUGAACUUAAGAGAAACUGGCACAAUAUGCCCGUGCUCCAAUGUUACCUUUUGCACAGCAACACCGUAUAUAUAAUUCGACUUUAUGAAAGUCCACUGUGCAUAUUUUGGCGUGGUGGAUAGCUUAUGCGUACAAUACAAUCUGCGACUGUGAGAUCUCAGCAUGGAUUCUAAAUCAUGCAAUUUAUUUUUACUAUUGGCUUUCAUACGUGAUUAAAUAAAAUAUGAGGCGACUCCUCACGCGUAGGCUACCCAGCUCCUCCCCUGCUCUCAGCCACUUACAUGUGGGCCACCGCCACGCUGUCACUCCAUGCCGGCAUAGCAUACGUCUGGAUACGGAAGGAAGCACCGUAUUUGCACAACCAGACAAGUUCGAGCAUCAGUUCCAUGUAUUUUACAACUUUAGGCACCAAACUGACCGUACCAAACAAGUUGAGGCACCCCUAGUGUAUUUAACUCCAUGAAUAAUCCAGAGGUGAAUUCACAAAUUGCAGUACCAGCUUUUUAACUCUGUCUGCAAUCAACUCCUUAGCUUUAUCCUCUUUAACCUGUAGGAAAGCAGACCAUACAUCAGAUAGAAGAAAAUAUUUCAAUGAAUUACACCUGCAUGUCACAUACAAAAGACGCUACUUACUCCAGGGCGAAUGGCUGCCGUGCAGGUAUGGAACUGAAGUCAGGAAGAUGAAAAGAGAUAAGCAUAUAUGCACAGAAAAGAAUAUUAAGUUACAAGUGCAAAUUAUCUAUUAAUCAAAACAGCUAACGUACGUCCUCUUCCAGCAACGUCAUGGUGUACUCAUGGUCCAGCGCAGUUUGCAUUAAACCUUGUCGUACCGGAAACUUGUUCAUCUUACAAACGUCCUCCAUAGCCUUUCAGAAACUCUGUUGAACAUUAUUCAAGGGAAAGGUCGUGCAUUGCUAAACAUAUACAGUGUAUUCGAAACAAUGAACCAUCAUUGAGUAGUUGCUUAGUUGCGCAUAACACACUAACCGUUCCCUUUGUGACCCGCCGCCAAAUCUCAAAGUACAAACGAUCAUACUCCUUAAACCAAGUAUGAUAAUAGCAAAUGCGCUCUUUAUACUCCUAAAUCAAGUGAAUGCAACUGUCAGAUACAAUAUAGGCCAUUGUAAGCUACAUUAAAUUCAUGUGUGUGAAAGAUCCUACAUCAAAGCCAUUGUAAGCUAAAGUAGGAGUGAUCUUGGGAAAGCUAGUAGCAGCAAUCUUAAUUGCUUGAAAUGCUCCUCGGGAAGAUAUUUUACCCCACUGAACAACAACAAAGUUAUGAGGGUGUUACAAGAUAUACAAAUAAUUAACAGUGUCAUUCCAAGAAUUUUGUAAGGCCAUACUUACUUUGACGGAUGAGCGGCAAAUAUCGACAUAAUCUUCCAUCCACUGUUGCCAGAGAAAAAGAAAGUUGUAAGUCCAAAGAAGCUUGAAAGCAUUGAACAAAAUUAGACGAUUUCCUUAACAUGAUCUCUGAUACAUACCUUCAGUCGCUUGGAUAAUUCCUCGCAGUACUUGAGAUACUCUCGUUCAAUAUCAUAGCUAUGAAGGUAGCUAUGGUAGUCACUCCACAUGCUGUACUCGGUACCACCCUACAUUGAAAAGGACAGAGAGAGAAAUCGAUUGCUUAGCAAUUUUUAGAACGACAGGCAAUUACAUAACCUAAGCAAAGAUUUGAUUGAACUAAAGGCUUGAAGCUGCAAAGAAAAAAAAACAAUUUUUAACCAUAUAUGAUAAAAAGAAAAAUAAAUAAGUGGCUAGUAUUUAUCAGAAAAUACAAUUCAGUUGCUUACAAAACAAAAAAAAUUAUUAGACAGAGUCAAAGAGUCAAUCAGUGAGCCGUUUCAUACCGAAAAAGGCUUUCGCCCCGCUUUAUAGAUAAAGCAACGACCAGAAGUACAAAUCCGGAUACAACACGCAACCACCCACACAACACACACACCCAAGGCAAGAUAAAAGGGUGCCGAUGCACCGCAACACUACCCAAUCGACCACCAAGCACACUACCAAACACUUGGGGCCGACGAGGACCUUCCGAGACCUAGCCACCGAGAAGAAGUGAAGCGGGACAAUGGCGAAGCAUGGACUCCAAGGCGGUGCCUUCAAGAAGGGCACGACAUCGAAAGUCGCCACCGCCCGAUCUCGGAGAUCAAGUUUUCACCCGGAGCAAGAUGGAGAGAAGAGAACACCACGACGGAGCCUUCAUGAAGGAAACGACGCCCGCGGCCGCCGCCACCGUCGGCCGGAGAAGACUGGGCAAGUUAUGCGCUCUGAUGUUAACCCUCUACCAAACCACCAUGCUUCGCCAAACAUCGCCAGCCAUGCCACCCACGUGGCCAUGGCUGCCCGACCGCACCCAAGAUGCGCGCUCCGCCCACGAACGCCGCGUCUCCCACCGCCAGGGCCGCCGCCUAGCAUCCAAGCAACUCCGUGAACACCCAAAGGCCUUGGCUUUGGCCUGACUGGCAGCCGCCGCCUAUGGAGAUGCCAGCAACCGCCCUGCCUCGAACAUCGCCAGAACCCCAACAAAGAGCACAGAACCGAGGAAAGGGGGAGGGGAGCGGACGCAUCCGGACCGGUGCACCCCUGCACCGGCGACAGGUGGCCAUCGGGGCCUCCCAUCCCUCCUGAGAACUCCCCACCGGACACACCCCCGUGUCGCCUCACCAUGGCGCCCGCCGCAGCUCGACGCGAGGCCACCAACGGCAGCCCGCCCAACCAUCGACAAGGAGCGCGAAGCCAACCCGCACCCGCAGCCAAGAGCACUCACCGGGAGAGCCACCCCGCGCCGCUCGCCGUCGUCCAGGGGCCGGAACAGGGGAGCCCUGACUGGAGGUCGGCCAGCACGCACCACCAGCUCGCGCGCCCGCCCCGAGCCCGUCCGCCGCGCCACAUGCCACAGCAGACGUGCCCACCCUGCCGGAGAGGCGCCGCGCGCCGCCCCCGUCCGCCGGCCCACCAGAUCUGGCCGAGCCCAGACCAGGCCGCCACCGCAUCCGCGAGCAAGAGCCACCUCGUGAAGCCCACCGCGCCGCCACCAGGCCCUCACUACCCCGCCGCCAGGGCCCGCCGCCACGCCUCCGCGCCCCUCACCAGUGCGAAGCUCGGCCGGACGCCAUCGACCCGCGCCAACAACCUCCGAGCGGGAUGGAGAUGGAGCCCCGCCGCCACCGGCGCCGGCGGGCUUUGCCCGACAGCAAGGUCCGGCGGCGGCGAGGGAGGGAAGGGAGGAGGGAAGGCUCGAAGCCGGCGGCUAGGGUUUCCCCCCCGGUCGCCACACGGGAGCGACGCGGGGAGGGGGGGGAGCUCUGAGCCGUUUCAUAAAAGACGAAGGUAAUGAGCACUAAGGAAUAAGGUGAAAAGAUUUUAUCUGUGGGCACCAUAUUUGGUCCUGCUACAUUUCUCUACUUCUUUCUAAACAAGAAUGGCAGUUUUGGAGACUGCAUAAUGUGUGUGAUUGACAGACAAUUGCGCCAGUACAAUUGACCACAAUUAUAAAUUGAAGAUAACUCACAUAAUUUUUUAGGACUAGGCGUUGAUAGUCACUCAGGGAAGCACAUUCGCAGUAAGCAGGGUAGAAAAACCAAUCGAGUGUUCCGUCUUCUUCAAAGCUAAUGAAAAAUCCCUUCUCCUCAAGAAACUCCAUAUUACAGUCAUGCUCAGUUUUAUCCAUAAGGUUAUCAUCCUCUUCCGAUGUAGCGUCAUCUUCCUCAAGGAAAAGAAGUUGCUUCUCUGUCAAUGUAGCUAAAUAUUCCCUUUCUUCCUUAUCGUCCUCUUCUUCCUCGAGAAGGUUAUCACCAUGCGGCUCUUCCUUGGGCUGUGACAACUGUAGACAAUGAGAUGACAUAGAAGAUCAAAUUAAAUGCAAACAUGAGGUUAAAUAAUCCAGCAAAUAUAGGAUAGAAGAGAAAGUAAAUGGUCGCAAUAGAAUGCAUGGCAUGUGUGAAUUCUGGCAAUUAUACAGAUAGAACUGUGGAAUUUAACCUUGUAUUUGUAAUAUCUGAAGCGGCACAGUGCAUGGUCGACGUAUUGCUGAACGAGACCCUCUUCUGUCAGCCCAGCUUUGAGAUCAACCCACGGAGGCCCGGGAGCCAGCUGGUCAAAGUAAGCAAGGAACUCCUCAUCGCUGAUAUCCUCUCCCACGCCCGAUUGAUUCAGCUCUUGGAUCAAAAGUUUCGCUUCACGUAUAUCUUGUAUGUGCAACUCUGUUUUCUUGACAUCAACUACACACUCGUCGGGAUCAGAUUCGGGAAUGUCCUCUGCUGCAGGGUGCUCAUGCUCGUGCAGCAUCUCUCCGCUCGAGCCCGUGCCCGCGGCCGCCUUUUCGGGACGCACACCGACGGCGCCCUCCGCUCGUGCUCGAGCACCCCGACCCCUUUACGCGAUGCGGCGGCGGCAACCGUCGAAACCCUAACCUAAUCGGCCAUGGCCGGGAGAGUCCCGUCUCUGCGGUCCUGGCACCGUAAGGUAUGGAGUACCUUCCAAACUGAAAACGUGUCUUAAAAACAGCUAUAAAAGUCCGAAAAGAAGUAUAGAUACAGCUGUAUUUUUUUUAAAAUCAUAUCCCACUCUUUAUUUACGAUUCAACCAGUGUUACAUCACUUUUUUUAACUGACCAGUGUUAUAUCACUUAAUAAAAGAGGGAUGAGCUUGCUAGGAGGCUCAACAACAAAAACUAUUACAAGAUGGGCCCUUAGCUAAAUUUGCUAAUUCAUGAACAACAGAAUUAGCCUCUCUAGGACAGUGCACAAACGAGGUAUAAGGUUCCAUCUUCGAUGGUUUCAUGCGGCGGCGGCGGAAGAGAGAGGGUGGGAGAAAAGAGCGAGAAUUGAACGAAGAGCGGUGGGGAGUGGAAUAUUUUCGCGUGGAAACAGUGCGGGAUGCUACAAAAGCGCGGGCUCUGCCUUUGUUUUGGGUGGGUCAGGGGGCCGGAGAGCGACAUUUAGUGUGUUCGAACUCCCGCAACGCCCCUACAUUUGUCUCCGGUUUGUGGUAAAAAUCGCGUUCAGACCGCGCCGCCAACCGAUACAGGACCGCGUUGGAUGGCUUUCGUGGUUCGGGCGGUUGCGGGAGGUUUGCAGGUCAGCAUUGAAGAUGCCCUUAUCUGUAGCAAAAAUGACCAUUGGCAUCUUCUUUCGAAUGAAUCUAACAAUAUAUUUUUAUGAUAUACCACUUAUAUUGUCUAAAUCAAAUGUACGGUCAAAGUUUGACAAAAAUAUAAGGUUGCCUAAUAAAAUCACAUAGAGAGAGUGAUGCAUAAGAUCUAUUGUCUUUGCAUUGUGCAUGUACCGCCGUUAUCGCUGCAUUUCGUACUACCAAAAACAAACUAGAAAACUAUAUCUAAUUCAUCAAAAGCAUAAGAAAAUUUUCAUUGUGCCGCCGGAUAUCUAGAAGCAUGCACGAAUUGUUGGGGCUUUACUAAGUCCUCGACAAUUCCAAUCCAAAAUUUUCAUAGCAAGUAGUCCUUGAAAGAUGCUACUAAUGAUGGUAUUUUUGUUGAAUGUGAGCCCCCCUUACUUCCUAGAUCUCUUAUUAAACUCUUCGUCACUCUCACUUCUAGGGUCAAUUUUCUUCUCUACAACAAUAUCCUUGAUCACCAUGUUACCUACAUCCCCAACUGGCGGGGUAUAGGUGGGCUUCUUUAGUGUGUGUUUUUGACUCAAUGGUGUGCUUUCCUCAAGUGCCAACAUAUGAUUUGCAUUCCUCUUACCAUCUGUCAUGAUGAUGUUCGUUGAUAUUUAACUAGGCUCGGCGCGUUAUCUGCCAACUCACUGCCUUCCUUCUCCCGGGGCUUCUCAUUAUGUUGAGGUUGGUUCUUUUGUCAAAAUGCUCACCACAUCCCCUUCCGACGACCACCAUCAGUGCGCCUGCCUCUUUGUCUACCUGGAUGGUCGGCCCCUCUUCCUCUUCCACUGGAGAUGAUAUGACCAUGCCAUGUGCCUCGCAUAGCCUUAAGGUAGACACCCACAUGAGAUCUUUUUCCUCAAACUCCCCGGUACCACAUUCCUCAAAUUUGUGAACCAUGAUACCACAUGCCUUGUAGAAGCCUGGGUUUUUCUAUUGGAUUUUGUAGAUUUACCGUUGGCCUAGUCUUGAGAUCAUACAACUCUCCUAGCUUCCUAAAAUGAAUCCUCACAAAAAUUCUUUGGGAAUUUCCACCCAUGGUGUUCAGUUUCAACAUAGAUGAUCGAACCAAUUAUUCUAGCUAGGUUAGUUAAUAGGGCCUUUGAUCAUACACGUGGAGAGCUUGCAAUUUGGAUCCAAAAUAGUGAUAUGAUUCUGAUCAAUCAACUUCAGGGCCGAUAGACCAUCAUAUGGUUCGAUUAUCAUGCCAUCACUUUGAAAGAGCGAUGGACCUCCCUUUGUCACCUUCUUCCAAUACACUAAGCAGAAGCUCCAAAUCAUGGACAUAUUAUCCUCUAAAGUCCUAAAUCCGAUCUCCUUCACUGGACUCUGGGCCACAUUUAUAUGACCAUAACGUGCUUAACAUGGAAGGAUUGCUCAUUUGAACUCCAGCAAUGAGCAUACACUUGACUAGUUGACUUCUUACUUUGCCACAUCUACAACUUUUUACACAUGAGAUCAUAAAAGUCCUUUCUCAUUGGGGCCCAUACGUUUGCAGGAGAUCAUUGAUGCACGCCUCUCUAGACCCUCAUGACUCGUCACGGAAGAGAAUUGUGCCACCGCCAGCACCGGAGAAUGGAAUGCAACGAAAUUUAGAUCACACACUCCUAGUUAUACGCGCAAGCCAUCCCCUUAGUGUGUGCACACAUGAUAGAGUAGGAAUCAAAAACGUAUUAGAGAAACCAUGGGAAACCUCACGUUGAGAUAUAUGGCUAUCAGUGGCCACAAAACCUAUUCUUUAGAGACACGCAAAAACUAGUCCGUGAUAGUUUAUAGGCCACUCCUACGGAUUGCGAAACAAUUGUACCUUGGCCGACUCAGGAUUUGGUUAUUUCUGUGUUACAACAUCUAAAAGACCAACCGAUGUGAACUUGUGUUCAUGUUCGGUCGAAAAUCCAACUCGAGAGUUGCGGGCUAAGGCACUCUCGUCCGUGAAACGAGGAUUAAUAUUGUUGUAUCAAAUUGCCGGCAAAAUGCAUAUUGACGAUUUUAUCUGGGGUUUCAAUAUAAAUUUGACAUCAGGUUUUUAGGGUUAAAAUUUGACACCCCGAUUGAACGCAUAGCAAUUAAUUGUUGCGGCAUGACAAUUUUUCUGUUGAUUUUUUACGUUGCACGGCAAUGUUCACCGUAGAACAUGGCAAAUUAUUAUACACAAGCAUGACAAUUUUAUCUGUUUUCGCAUGGCAACCAUUUUUAGCGCUAAAAAUCUGAUGUCGGACUUUUAACAUUUCUGUCUAUUUGCGGUUUUGUUCCAUUGUUUUAACAAAAAAAUAAACAAAAAAAUUUAAAAUACAAAUUCUGAAAGAAUGGAAAAACUAAGGUUAUUGGGCUGUGGGCGCCCCGUAGGCGUGGACCUUUACUAUUUGACGCUCGGGGGUGCUCGGCAUUAACCGCCUGAGACCGCGUGCGCGUAAAUCUUAAGCAGCGCUCCGCUUACAUGCUAAGCUAAAAGAACACCUCACGCAGCGCAAUAUAAUCCCCUCCCAAAUCGGGAGCAGCCCGGAAAAACGCGAACCGACUCUAGCUGAAGCAGCUCUCAUCGCCAUCGAUCCUUCUCGAUCUGCUCCGAUGGCCCACGCCGGCGCCGCCAAGCCCGAUCCGGAGAAGAAGUCCUGGGCCGACGUCGAGGAGGAGGAGGAGGCCAAGGCCAAGGCGGAGGCGGAGGCCGAGCUCGCCGCCGCCGCCGCCUCCUCCUGCUCCUCCUCCUCCGCCCCCAUCGAGCCGGUGGUGGAGGCGCAGGCGAAGCAGAUCGAGGCGCUCUCGCUCUCCGUGCCGGACGACGACGGCGGCGCCGAGGGCCCGCCCCUGCUCGACGACUCCGACGACUCCCAAAUCCAAGCCGUACGCGCUCUCCUCCGCUCCCCGCCGCCGCCGCUGUCCGGUGGCCUCGAUGUCGGCCGGCUGAUUCGGUGCUUUGCUUCUCCAGGUGACCUCGGGCGGCACGGUGUACGAGUCGGCCACGACCUUCGAGGACGUGAAGCUCACCCCCGAGCUGCUCAAGGGGCUGCACGACGAGAUGGGGUUCAGCCGCCCCAGCAAGAUCCAGGCCAUCACGCUCCCCAUGAUCCUCACGCCGCCCUACAGGGACCUCGUCGCGCAGGCGCACAACGGCUCCGGCAAGACCACCUGCUUCGUCCUCGGCAUGCUCAGCCGCGUCGACCCCAACCGCAAGAUGCCCCAGGCCAUCUGCAUCUGCCCCACCAGGGAGCUCGCGCAGCAGGUCUCUUGACUUGAUCCUCUACACUCCCACGCUCUGAUAUGCUCUGCUCUCAUCUGGUUAUUGGAUAUAACAAACUGCAGUGGGGAGCUUGAUUCUGCUAGUUUUAUACCCUGUAUAAUAAUGUACUGAUUCUGAUUGGUUGGUCUGUGCAGAAUAAAUCUGUGCUCAUGAGGAUGGGCAAGUUUACCGGCAUUACCUGUGCCUGUGCAACCCCGCCGGCUCAGAAAGAUUAUAUGCCCAUCAGCAAAAUGGCUCCGGUGACCGAUCAGGUGGUGAUUGGCACUUCUGGGACGCUCACCAAGUGGAUUACCCAUAAGAAGCUUGCCACUAGGGAGAUCAAGAUUCUUGUGUUCGACGAGGCAGACCAUAUGCUUGCCGAGGUACAAUUUAGUUAUCUUGUCAUCGAUCUCUUUGUGCCGUUGAUACACCCAGUGUUUUCCGGACUACUUACUGUUAGUUUACACGCAUGCUAACAGUGAAGCGAGAAGGAUAACAAGGUUCAUACUCAUUAUAGGAGUUAUUUCUCAGCUGCAAAUGAUAAUGGCAUUGACAGUAAUAUUCAUUCGAGUAUAGAACAGAUGGUUCUUAGCAGCAAACGAUGAGGGUAUUUUGAGAUCAUGUCUCAUAGACCUUUCCCUUUAUAGCCGUCAGAUGUACGUCGGUAACUAUCCUCAAGAAGCAAAGCAGUGGCGCUUAUUUGCUAGGCUUGCGACUAACCUGCUUCCUCUUGGGUAGGUAACUUUCUUGUGGCUUAACUGAAAUCAAAUGACCAUCAGCCUAGUAUUGAGUCAAUGAAUCUGAGUAUGAAAGAAUGCAGCCAGUGAAGUUUUUACUCCUGAUAUCCUAGUGGCAUUAAGGGGUGUCAUCAUGGUGCAGUUGUGUUAUUUUAGGUGUGAUGGCCGAAAGCUCUUGGUAUCUGUUUGGUCUGAGUGGAUAAAAAUAACAGAAAAAAAGGCAUUUGUUUUCCAAGGACAUAAAUUAGUAUGGAGUCCCAACAGUAGAAAUAUUCUUAUAACUAGAACCAAAAUUUGGUGCGCUCAAAAUUCCUUACCUUGUCUGCUGAUGAACUUCUGUCCACGACGUAGCGGGCUCAUGUAAACUAGUUGCUUUUAUGAUUUAAUGAGUACGGUUUCUUAUCCUGUUGAAUGCUUCUUGCAGGAGGGCUUUAAGACUGAUUCUUUAAGGAUCAUGAAGGAUAUACAAAAUAGUGCUGGCGGUUGCCAGGUAACUUUUUUAGUAAUUGACUACUUUUGACUGUGACAGUAGAAUCACACACAACAGCUUGCACCUUGGUUACAUGUCAAAAUCAGAUGCGAGUAUAUUUUGAAUGUUGGGACUUGGUAGGUUAUCAAGGGAGAUAACCUAUUCCUAUGCUUUGUAUGUGCUCAUGUGCUGCUUCUUGAACUUCUUAUCAAUUGCUAAUGGUUCCUAUGCUCUGUAUGUGCUCAUGUGCUGCUUCUUGAAUUUCUUAUCAAUUGCUAAUGGUAGGUAGAGGCUUUGGAAAAGGGUAAUUUUCUUUAUGCAGUGGGUUGUAUCCAAUUUCCAAGUUUUCUGGAUUGUGGUAUUCAUUUUCUUUAUUUUUGGAAGACUGCAUAUUUCAUGUAUGGGGCAUCUUUGAAGAUGAUAGUUUUAGGACUAGAAAGAACCCUAUACUGUGGUGUGUUCUAUGUAAUUGGUUAAUUGCACAUUCAGGCAUUCCUAUUAUCGUAAUCUUAAAGCCAAUCUGCUGGUGUUAUUGCCUUAGUUUUUCCAAGUUUUUUCAUUGAUGGCGUUGAUAUACUUUCAGUCCUCAAAUAGCCUUGUCCAUGUGGUGGAUAAUCUUUUGUAAUGCUUGUACCUGUCGGUGUAAUCCCAUGGCUGUGCCAUUCAACUAGCCUUGGCUAUAUAAUUGCUAAAUUCUUGGUUAGAUGUGAUUGUUUCUGUUUCCAUAUGGUUCCUUUUUUUACUUAUUUUAAUUCUAUUUAUGCCAGGUGCUUCUCUUCUCUGCGACCUUCAAUGAGAAAGUGAAGGAGUUUGUUACAAAGGCCAUUAAGGACGGAAACCAAAUAUUUGUGAAGAAGGAAGAUCUUACUUUGGAAAAAGUAAAGCAAUAUAAAGUCCGAGUCCCUGAUGAGGCGGCCAAAAUAGAGGUUAUAAGGGACAAGAUCUUUGAGUUUGGGCAAAAGGUUGGACAGGUUAUCAUCUUUGUGAGAACAAGAAAUAGUACUAAGAAUGUACAUAAUGCUUUGACAAAAGAGGACUAUGUGUGCUCCUCAAUUCAAGGAUCCCUUGACCAAGCAGAGAGGGAAAAAGUAAUUCAGGAAUUCAAAGAUGGGUACACCAAGGUUCUUAUAUCAACUGAUGUUCUUGCUCGAGGUUUUGACCAAGCACAGGUACUAUGCGCGCCGUGCUAUUUUGACACACCAGUUAAAAUUUUCCUUCUAACAUUCUUCCUUUGAAAGGUUAACCUGGUCAUCAACUACGACAUGCCAAUCAAGUAUAAUACGAGAGAUGAACCUGAUUAUGAGGUGUACCUGCACAGAAUUGGCAGAGCUGGGCGCUUUGGCCGAAAAGGUAAAUUUAUGUCUUAUCAGUCUAUUAUGUACAUACACCACUGUAGCAUAUUGGUCAACACCGUGCCAGACAGUCGCGGUGUUAAUAGGAAUUAAAUGGCUUGGGAUAAUGACAGAUUGAACCUGUUAACCAUCGAUAAGCAAACACGCUACAUUUAGUCAAUCGUAAUGCCUGUUUGUUCUAGCCUAAGGAUGAACUUGUCAGCAGAACCAGUCUUCUGCGAGUAGGAUUUGGCAAUAGGAUUUUUAGCUUCCUAUAUGAUAGAACUGAUGUGACCAUUGUUUGUUGAUUAUAGAUGUCACGUUUGUUUGCUCAUUUUCAUUUUUUUUCUUCAGAGGUUGUGAUUUCCUAUUUCUGGAGAUUUUCAAUUGAUUUUCUUGGAUAGUUUUCAUGAUUUAUCAGUUGGACACAUAAUAAGUUGUGUUAUAUACCAGUUUAUGAGUUAAUCGCUGUUGAGUAGAGUUGCUUAUCUUGUGGCCUAACUGAAAUUUUGGUGGUGACAGGAGCUGUGUUCAACCUGCUAUGUGGUCAAACUGAUGAAGUUGUGAUGACAAAGAUCGAGGACUACUUCCAGCACAAAGUGCCUGAGGUCCCCAACUGGAAAAGCGAGGACAAUUUUGAGACUGCUCUUAAGGAUGCGGGUUUACUUGAGUAAACUGUUUACUGGCAGAAAUAGGUGGCGGCAAAUUGCGCGCUUAUUUGAUUAUGUUGUCACCAGCACUUGGGUUCUUUCUUUUGUACCAGAUGCUUGUGUCUGGAGUUGUGUGGAUUAUGUUGAGCUGAUGCGAUGAAUUCUAUGAGGGAGAGUCCAUUUUUAUUGCUCGUUCGUUUGAGGUUUUCAAGUCCUCUUCACACACGCCCAUGUAAUUUCGUUUGAGAAUUCAUUUGUAUGUUAUACUUGUACUACUACGCAUGUGUACAGAUUGAUCGCAGUGGGCAGUUACAAGAUUCAUCCCCAUGUGUAAGAAUGUACAUGAUUGAUUUCCUCUCUAACUCUGUUGGCACGCAAGAAAAAGGAAGUGUUACAAGUUGUCGUGCUCGAUGACCUGAGCGCCCCUCCACUCCUUGCCGGGGCCGACGACGACGGGCACGAGGAUGGACGCCGGCCCGGUGCAGAGGAAGUAGUCGUUGCCGAACUUCUCGUACAAUCCUCCCGGGCUGCUCAGGUACAUGUCCUCGAACCCCAUCCUCACCAGCCUGAACCCCAGCCCGCUAGACUGUCCAAGCAAAUCACAAGCCAUAUAUCAUCAGUGAGCAAUGCGAAUGGAUGAUGCAUCCCAAGCCAAGAGACGAACGAACCUGGUCGAUGGUGGUGAACUUGGACGGCGCGGUGCUGUAGAUGCGCUUCUUCCUCUCCUCGGGCGGCGCCGCGUACACCCUGCUCACCUUCUUCUUGAGGAUGGUGUAGAGGUUCUCCUCCACGGUCCAGGCGCCCUGCCGGGGCUCCUCCCCGCCGCCGCCGAACCACCCGGACUCCUCCCGCUUCAUGGCCUCGGCGGGGGUGAGCAGCGCGAACCCGGACGCCGGCGGCGGGUGGGAGCAGUAGGGGCAGCCGCGGAGCCCCUCCACGGCCGUGCCCCGCCGCUUGUCGAACUUGAUGUGGCUCAGCACGGCGCCCGUCAGCUCCACCGGCUUGGCCCCGUUGUUCUUGACGAUCACCGCCGUCGCCAUGCUCAGCGGGUACAGCGUCACCACGUACGACACCUCCAGCUUGGCCCCCUUGGCGCUGCACCCGAGCUCCACCUGCACGGCGUCGUAUGAGUCCGAGUCCACGUCCGCCACGGACCACUCGGACGCGCCGAGGAGUGACGCGCCGCCGGACGACGAGGAGGAGGCCUCGUUGAGCACGAGCCCGACGCCGCCCUUGACCGCGCCGGCGCCGGCCACGGUGUGCAGCAGCUCCCGGCAGCCGUCCCCGCCCUCCCAGGACACCUUGGGCCGGUACGACGUGACCAGCCCGUCGUUGAGCCGCAGCUGCAGCGAGCUGCCGUUGCGCACGCUCAGCUCCGCCGUGGGCGCGCCCGUGGCGUCCGUCCCGAACCGGAGGCCCUUCCGGCCGAAGGUCUCCUCCAGCUGCGACGUCUGCGUAGCGGCGGGCACCGUCGACGCGACGCCCGAGGCUGCCCUCGCGGCCACGGUGGCCGGCCUGGGGGAGGCCGGGAGGUGGAGCGGGAGGAAGGAGGAGGCGGCCAUCAUCGGAGCUAGCGCUGGAGUGAGUGAUAGCUAGCGGAGAAGGGGAAGGUGCUGGCCUUCCCCUUGAGAGUCGAGGCCGAUUGGGUGUCACUGACUGCAGCCUCAUAUCCACCGGCUUGAGGAUAGGUGGUUUCGCGCUCGCUCCUUGUCCGUGUCCUCUCCUUGCUCUGCUGCGACUGCGAGCCUGCCUAGCAACAGCUUGAUACCGGAAUGAGCAUGCAGAAAAGAAAAUGAUCUUUGUUUUCGCAAUUCAGAAACUUCCAAAAUAGAUGACCCAACUUUGUACUAACUUUAAUAUAAAAUUGGGUCAUCUAUUUUGGAACCGAGAGAGUAGUAUGUUUCAAUUUUUAUUCAGAGGAACUCUGAGGCCGAUGCUAAAUUCAUGAAUGUUCGCGUUGAUAGGAAUUUACUUGUAGGAACGGAUCUCAAAUGGGAGUUCUACAAGUAUAUGUACACUUUCGCAACAACAACGACAAAAGACAAGUAUAUGUAAAGUGAUGGACUGUAUACAAUAUCAUGAUGUUGUAGCUAUGACUACAUUAAGGCAUUAAAACCGAACCGUACGUACAAGUCAGGAUGGCCGAGUGGUCUAAGGCGCCAGACUCAAGUUCUGGUCCUCUAACGAGGGCGUGGGUUCAAACCCCACUUCUGACAAUAAUUUUUGCUUUUUUCCUUGCUUAAUUUCCUGACAAUAAUUUAUCUUUUGCGAGAUUCUUCAGGCUAUCCUACGGCUGGCAGAAGAGAAGAAACUGCUGACAGACAAUACCUACUUUGGCAAUGGUGGACUGAACGUAAUCGGGGCAACCACGGUGAGAAACGGCUGGAAACUGACGCAUUCCAAUACUGUCCGGAGCCAUGUUCAGCGAAUGGUCUGACUGACGCCCUCCAUGCGUAGGCCUUGGCCCUCUCCCGUGGCUGAUCAGCUUGGAGUUGGCCGGGCGCUUUUCCUUUUUGCGGGUGAUCUCUUCCGUGGCAUCAAGUUUAAAUCCAGUACCAAGUUCAUUCAGACUGAGAUUGUACAUGUUGGACGUAGCUGUAACAAGCCAACGCAUGUGCUGGCCGCCAUGGGUCCAGUAUCAGCUGAUGGUGAAGCGUGCUUGUGGGUUGAUAGUUUCCCUGUCGAUGUAACCCGUGUUGUAACCAGCAUUUUUGCCGUGCCCUAGAUGGAAUACGAGUGUUUCCAUUUCAACAACAAAAAAAAAAUCUCGUUCGCUCCUUUUCAACUUCUCAUUUAGCUUCAAAAUUUACCCUAAAGUAGCCCCGCCAGCAAUUUAUCUGAACAUCCCUCUUCCAUGCAUUCUACUUCCUCCGUCCCAAAAUGUAAGAUGUUUUUGCUAGGAGGGAGUAGAUGUUACCCCACCGCACCGCGCGGAGCCUGAUUGGCAAACAAGUGCAGAUAAAAUUUUACCGUUGAUUCAACCACGAAUCCCUCUCAUCCAGGAAAAAAACUAUCAGGGAGGCGACCAACUCCUCGUGCGCUCUGCCGGCGAGGUCGUGGGUUCUCUUGCCCCAAUCACCGCUCCGACGAUGGAUGGGUGAGGGAACCCCGGCUCUCUGCCUCCGUUGUAGGUAGGGUUAGGUUUAGUGUGUUCCACGAAGGUGCAUGGAUGACGGUGAUGCCGGCAUUUGGAAUAAAAUUUCCCAAGCUCAAUCCCAUCUCGACGACAUCCUCGGUGGUGAAAUCGAGGGAUCUGCGGGAACCUUAUUCCAUCGUUUCCUUGGUGCGAUGGAUCUAAUGGUGUUUGUUGUGUGCAUGUCAGAUCUCACCUCAUGCGGUGUCCUCUUUGUUUGGGGGAAGGUAAAGGUCAGAGUACUUGGUGGGACGUUGGCGGUAGCGAUAUUCACGGAAUGUGUGGACAUCUCUACCUUGAUUGGGAAGGUCAAGUUUAAAUAUUAUUUUCGAUCAGCAAAUCAAGUGGCGCAUGUGCUAGCUAGGUUUAGUUAUUCCAAUAAAGUUUCUUCUAGUUGGACCGAUGAGCCUCCAGAUUAUCUGGUGAGCAAGCUCGUAGAUGAUGUAUCUCUACUGAUUAAUCAAUAAAGCUAGUCAUGAUGGUCUUCUCUCAAAAGAAAAAAGAACAAGGUUCGAGGCUCGUGGGUGGCGGUUCCGGUGUUUUGUCUCGACGACAUCAACGGCAUGCAACGGACCUGCAUUUCGAGUAGCAAGGGAUGAUCCCCAGUUGACGGGCCAGAACGAAAAUGGACUUGCCGACGACAAUCCUCUUCUUCGACUCACAAAGCCCUCAUGGGCGGUGUUGCUUCUUUGUCUUCGAAGGCCGCAAGUGGCGAGGAUGGUCUUUGUAGAAAUCUGCUUCAAUGGAGUUUUCUAGCAAAUAUUUCUGGACAUGCGUCCUCUCUCUUUUUCUCCCGUGGUUUUCAUGAUUCCGUGUUGUAAUUUGACGUAUGUUUAAUGGUGUGCGAAAUUUCUAAGAAAAAAAACGAGAGGCCACCUUAACGAAUCCAUAUUUGCCUGCCAACGAUCCGGCCGGCCUCCAAAUAAGUUCCAACUUUCCAAGUAACAAAUUCAUGAAGGGAUCACCAGAGCAGAGCAGCAUGAUCGUGUCUACUUGUGCGCCAAUUGCCUUGGCGAUGGACACGUACUUGUCCUUCCCCGCACGGCCUCGUCCGCGACGUACUCCCCCGCCCACCGGCACAGCGCCGGGUGCUCGUCCUCGGCGAGCAGCGUCACCCCGGCCAUCUCCUCGAACACCCCCAGCCAGUGCGCGAGCCCGCUGGCGGCGACGUCGAGGAAGCCGACGCGGUCGCCGCCGAAGAACCUCCUCCCGCCGAGCUUCGUGCAUUUUGUGCUGGUGUACAUAUUUGCCACAAACUUCCUCGUAGCUUCGUAUUGGCGAUACGUUCUAUAGUAUACGUGCUAUGUUCUCCCGCCGCUGAAAGUUACCUACCGUCAGUCUUAAUCCGGCAAGCUCUAAACAAAUAACAAACCAUUGUUAGCUAGCUACUAGUACUAUGUGUCUAGUGAUGUAUAACUUUCGUUACUUCAUGUUUUGGAUGCAAUGGGUAGCCUCUCCAACCAAGCUUCAGAUUUUCGAAGAGGUCAAAACAAGAGGGAAGGAAGGUAUAUACCCCUACACUUGUUACAACCAUGUAAAACAAGGUGCAUGUUAGUCAAGGAAUUGAAACAAAGAUCCCAAUUUCCCUGGAAAACCAAAAGCCUGAACCAUGGAGUAGUGUUGACAAGUAGUGACACCACCAUGACACAGCAGCUAGCGAUCGUUCCAAAUUCUUUUUAAGCUGAGCUUGACACCUCUCUAGGAUACAAACCAGUGACCCACUGACAAGGACAUUUAUUCACAUACCACUCACCAAGCAACCAAAAACAGGCAUCGAAAUUCUGAAGCAUGUCAAGUGGACAAGCAGUGAGCAACACAGCACUCAACCAAGCACACCACCGCUUUUCUUCCCCAAACGGAACCACAAGCAAAGCACAGAUGCAACGGCCUCCAAAAGAAGCCACACCUUUGCCAAACUUGCCUUUGCCCGGUCAGCUUCGCACCAUCUAUCAUCAUCCAUCUAGUGGAGUGGAGCACCCAAAAACGGAGGCCUCCGCAUCAGCAGAUACGAAACCAAAGCAAGAUUUCUGUUGUAAUAUAAUCUUAAUAAGACGCGAAAACAGCUCCAAUCUAGAACCCACUUUCAGAUCCACUCACCCAACACUCGACACAAACACAUAGUACUUACUCAAACACCACCAAAUACCGACCGAAAACAGACGCGACACAACCGCACCAUGCCACCGGGUACGACACUACCUUUGUCUUGCCACAGGUUCUCUUUUCUCUUUUUCUGGCGAUUCCGAUGAUACCACUAUAGGAGGAGUCUUUAGAGCUAAGCAAACUGAAAUAGGGAUGACGAUAAUACGACGACGACAGAAGAAGAAAAAGGAGAGAGCUAGGGAAACCUAACUAUCCGACCCGCUUUCCAGCA